rnacentral:lncRNA from 1 species
AGAGAGAGAGAGAGAGAGAUCAAAUAGACUUGAAGGACAUGAGCUGGCGUUUUUUGGUGGAGUUUGGCAACGGAUCAAACACAACUGCUUGGUAAGACGAUGUUGGAUCUUUGGUUGCGAGGUUGAGCUUGUAGUUGGUGCCGGCGACCACCUGUUCCAUGCCACUGACCACCUCGGCGAACUGCAAGCUCUCGCCGGUCUGCCUGUUGUGCUCCUUGACAGCCCAUUCGCCGACACCCUGGACAUAUGGGUCCUUGACGUUCUCUAUUUUGACAUACUAUCCGCUCAGCGUGGUGACACCUGCAGCUCUAGCAGACCUGCAGAUGACCACUACACCAAAAUCAUACACUUCCUACGGUUUUUUAACUUCCUACAAUUUUUAUAAUAAACCGUAGGAAAUAAAUAACUUCCGAGAGACAACUGGUAGCUCUAGGAAAUAAACAUAACUUCACAUGCUGACCCGUGCGUUCUGUCAAGCGAGCCGUUAACUUCCUAGAGGCAGCCGUAGGAAGUUAGCAUGGUCAGCUAACUUCCUAUGGCCUCCUCUAGGAAGUUAGCUUUUAGUUGCUGAUCUGCGGUUGUGGUCAAACAAAAAGCUAACUUUCUACUGCUGACACUAGGAAGUUAGCAUGGGUAGCUAACUUCCUACGGCCUCCUCUCGAAAGUUAGAUUUCAGCUUUUGACCAGUCAAACGAAAAGCUAACUUCCUAUAGCUGGCUUUAGGAAGUUAGCAUGGGCAGCUAACUUCCUACGGCUGGCUUUAGAAAGUUAGCGUGGGCAGCUAACUUCCUACGACCUCCUCUAGGAAGUUACUUAACUUCCUAGAGUACAUGCACAAACUCUAGUAAGUUUUGUAACUUCCCCUCUAGGAAGUUACUUAACUUCCUAGAGUACAUGCACAAACUCUAGGAAGUUUUGUAACUUCCUACGGCUUUACUCUAGCAAGUUAUAUUUUUUAUAUUAAACAUCUACUUAACCUUAUCCUCUUCUCUCCCCUUUCUCACUCCCGUGUCUCUUCCACCAAAUCGAAGCCGCCGCCGUCGCACGUUGCUCCCACCCGCCGCACACCUGCUCCCACCCGCCCCGGCCUCGCCCGCCAUGGCCGCCCCCGCCACCGGCCGCCCCCACCGCGGCCGCCCAAGCUCGCACCCGCUGCGGCUACCCCUAGCCCCGGCCCCGCCCGCCGCGGCCGCCCCCGCCCCUGGCCCCGCCAGGGGAUCCACGCCGAGGACGACUACCCGUACCUCAUGGAAGAAGGCUGUUGCAAAGAGAAACAAGUUCGCACACAAAAAUCUUCACAUGUGAACUGGAUGAUACUAGGAUGCAGGGUUCUAAUCCUUUGCUCUGGCGUGCGUGUUUAGCCCCAAGUUGAUGUCGUCACUAUAACUGGGUACGAGGAUGUCCUAGAGAACAGCGAGAUCAGCCUGCUGAAAGCGUUGGCCCAUCAGCCUGUCAGCAUCGGCAUAACUGCAGGGAGUAGGGACUUCCAGUUCUACAGAGGGGUAAGUAGAACUGACUUGUCUGUAGUAUGGUUGGUUUCAGAUGGUUUCAUCACUAGCUGUCACAGAAGGGAAGUAACAUGUGCGUGUAUACCGAUCGUCUGGCUGGCUGCACUGUAGGGGGUGUUUGACGGGGCCUGCAGCGUCGAGCUCCACCAUGAGCUGACGGCCGUCGGGUACGGCUCGUCGUAUGGCCAGAACUACAUCACCAUGAAGAACUCGUGGGGCAAGAACUGGGGGGAGCAAGGCUACGUCAGGAUAAAGAUGGGCACCGGGAAGCCAGAGGGUGUCUGCGGAAUCUAUACCAUGGCCUCCUAUCCCUUGAAAAAUGCAACACGCUGGGGUACCUAAUUUUUUUGUAAUGAGUUUGUUCGAAAGUAUUAUUUUUAAUAUAAUCCACAUGGCAAGAUGCCUUUUUACCAUUGCUGUCAAGAUCCCAUACUUGAUUUCCCAAAAUCCAUGUUACACUCACCACUCCAGCACGAUAGGAACAACUAUAUAUUGUGAUCUAUCUACACGACUGUCUUGGAAGGCGGUAUAUAAUUGCGCGGCCAAGUGGUAACCAAAGUAUGGUCAGUUAAUCGGAACAACGUGCUCGUCUUCCUUUAACCUCCGCUCCCAAUCUCACCGGCAGGUGUUAAUCAAGUAUUGCUAACGAAGGAUUCACUAUGUUUGGUAGUGAAGGGCGAUGUCCGGAGAGUAAGAACGAGGCGACACAGUAUGGACUCGAUAUGACCGAGCAACAAUAUCUUGAGGUAAUUGAUGUUUUUGCUUGUGUUGAAAAAAUCUCCAUUGCUUCUAGAUAUUACAGUUACUUAUAAAUGAAUUGUGUUCAUGCAGCAUUCGAUUCCAUGGAUAGCUGCCAAUGAUGCUGCUUGGCGUGCGUUUUGUCGUUACUGGGCUUCGGCUGAAUUCAAGGCAAAGUCUGUGCGACACAGUUCUAAUCAUGGAACCGAGUCAUAUCACAAGUAUGGAGGUGAUGAUCACUUUCGUUUGGCAAAACGAAUGGUAAGUACAAUUUAAUCCAUUUUUGUUGAUUGUAGUUGACUUCCUAUAAUUUUUUGUUAUAAUGUUUGUCAAAUGUACAUAUAGGAAGCUAGCACUGGUGCAGUGCCUAGUGAUGUUCAAAUAUACCUUAGGGGGCACAGAGGACCAGAUCCUGCAAAUCUAGAUGUGUUGUACAGCCAAAAGCAACAGAUUGUGUGGUGAGUGUUUUGAAAUGUUUGGUAGGUUCUGUUUAUAUAGAUUUUUGUAUGUAAGAUUGCAUUGUUCUUUUGUAUGAGGCUGCAUAUGGUGAGGCGAUGUCUAGUCAGCAUGGACCAAACUAUGAUUGGAGGACCUCACAUAUUGAUCCUCAGGUUGUGUAUGCAAGUGGUGGAAAAGCUCAUGGAAGGUGCAGACUCUACAUAUCUUAUAUUGUUUCAUUGGUUGAGUGCAAUACAUAUAUUCUUAAUCUGUCGUGAUGUUACUUGUUUUGUAGGUACACAAUGUUUGCUAACGUCAUCGACUCGAGCCAGGUGAGGGUUCAGCGUGGAGGUUCGUCGUGGUCUGCUGCUCGUAGCUCCCGUCUCUCCACUCAAGAUCCAGCAGAAGUGGAACAACUGCGAGAAGAACUUAGGCGACAUCAGGAUUUCUUGAAGCAACAAGCUGCGCAACAUGAAUAUUAUGCUACACAGAUUCAACAACAGCAAAACACUCAUACAAGUAAGUUUAAAAGAUAAUAGCUUUCACUUUAAGAUAUGUAUUGAUUUAAAACGCUGAUGUGAAUGAGUUCGACAAAUUUGUAGCAACUAGCACAGGCUCAAGGGAUACACGUCCUGGUGCCCCCCCACCACCACCUCAUGUUCAUUAUCCUUGGUCUUCACCUCCACCUACACCUACAUCUCCAUCUACCGAACAUCAGGUAUGCAAAUUCAUCAUCAUUUACUUUUUGUUACUUAUAUUAUGAUGUAACUUAGCAAAUAUCAUUUGUACAUGUAUAUUAGACCCCUCCAGCCAUCUUGCCGACGCAUGAACGAGAAGACGGGUUAGACUUUGUUAAAACCCUCUUCGCUAGUGGAGGUAUCGACCAUCACUCGUCACUGUAACCCGAUGGUGAUCGGCGACCGUGAGCUUCCAUGUUAUUGUGCUUUGAUACUUGAGACUUUUAUUAUGACUAUCUAUGAGAUAUUGUCUCUUAUUAGUACUGGAUGAUGAGAUGUGUCUUAUUAUGACUAUGGAUGAGACUUUUGUGAUGUAAUUAAUAAGACUAUGGAUUUAAAUAUUGUUAUGUGAUUGUGUGUGAGAUGUUUUAUGUGAAAAUAUGUUGUGCUAUAUAGUUGUUGAUAUAUUUGUUAUGUUGUGGACUGUGACGUAAAAUAAAAAUAAACAACAUUUGUAAUGCUGGUCAAAUUAACUUCCUAGAGGCUUAUUGGGCCGUAGGAAGUACGGUCAGCCGUAGGAAGUUAGUCGUAGGAAGUUAGUCAGCUGACGGCGCUGACGGCGUGAAGCUACUAACUUCCAAGAAUCUACUAACUUCCGAGAGGCUUCUUUGGCUGUAGGAAGUUAGCUAACUUCCUAGAGGGCUCUAGGAAGUUAAGCUAACUUCCGACAAAAAAUUUCCGAGAGCCAAACUUCCGACGGGGUAGCUUAACUUCCGAGAGUUUAGCUAACUUCCUAGAGUUUAGGCCUAACUUCCUAGGGCCGGCUACGGAUGAUCCAGUGACAGCAGCGGUGGCGGCCAACAACACCAUGGCUCGGCGACGCCCACCGGCGUCGUGACGAGCUCCGUCGGCCACGGAUGCUUGCUCUUCCUGCAGGUGCUCGUUAGAUUUGGCGGCCGUGGCCCUGACCACGACCAGGCUAAGGCGGCGGCGAGGAGCGGCUGUCGCCGUGAUGGGGACGCUCAUCAACGGGUUCGUGCUGAGGAAUGCCAUUCUUCUUGGCUUGAUGGAUGUCUAUGGAUUGUGGUUCUUGUGCUGCUGGCUUGCUGCCUUCGGAUGGAGGGGAAACUGUUGGUAUAAAUAUAGGCUACAGCAGAUGCUGAACCGUUUGUAUCGUGGAUUGUUUCCAUUAAUUUCCAACAUUUGUUUUGUACUAGAAUCUCUGUACAUGCAUGUACUGCCAGCUCAAACAACCAACAAAAUACGAGUACAACCAUGCUAUUUCGUCCAAUAUAUGCUCUACUACACAUUCUGCAUGUUUUUGUGGUUAUCUGUUGUGGCCCUUUCAUCACAAAAAAAGCUGAGUGACACCUUGUCGUUUCUAUACUCAAGAACACCGUAUCGAUCGGUUGUCUCGUUUUGUACACGUGAAACAUAACAUGAAUAGAACGUAUCCGUACUAACAUUUGGGCUGGAAUAUGGAAUGCACUUCUACAUGCAAAAACCAUUUCCAUCAAGGUUGCUCGAUACAAAUAAGUCGCACUACAGUAACUGGACAUUUUUUCUACGGCAAGCCAAUGAAAUAAACUUAUUACAAUGUGUUUGGUUUGAGGCAUCUUCUCACUCCUUGUUUUUUAAUUUGGUUUGUGGAAUCGAAUUAAUUGAUCCAUCACCAUUCCAUUCCUAAUAUAGGCUAAUCUCUACUAAUCUAUAUGCCUCUAUUGUGGGCGUCCACCACCUGUAUUGGUGAAGCAUGCCCACUGGACUCAAUCCCCCACCGCGAUCCACACCUCGUCGCACGGAAGGCGCCAUCCACUCGGCGCGAUCCACGGUCGAGCCCGCCCAUACCGCCCGAGACCUGCUCUACCCCGCAAUCCACUCCCCCACCGAGCUACUUUCCUCCUUCUCAGCGAGAUCCACGCUGCUCUUCAAAGGAAGGACGGGGACCUGCUCUAUCCCACGAUCCACUCCCCCAUCGAGAACAGCAACAACAACAACAUGAUUACCCGCAGUUUGGGAGCUCAGAGGCGUGUACACCCCAUUGUGCCCGCGCCCCCGUCUCCCCGCCCGCCCGAGACAUCCACAUCGUCCCACCCCCAUCGCCGGCACGAUGACCGGAGGUCCCCCCAGGCGAGGGCACACGCCCGCCCUGACGCCCCCCGCCUCCACCGCGUGUCCGCACCCCUGCCCACAGAGGUCACCGCUGCGCGCCAUCAACGGGCCUCCUUCCUCCCCCCAUGACUGCCGUCGUCACAACUGUCGUCUACCCCUCACGCCACAGCUCUUAAUCUUCCUCCCACUGCCCCUAUCGCCGGUCGCCGCUAUUCAUCUUGCUGGGGGCCACAACGCCAUCCUUGAUCGCGCACAGAGGCACACUCCAUCGAGGAGCGACAUGAGGAGAGAUGACGGGUGCGGAGAUGGCGUCGGUGUUGCUGCAAACAAUGUGGCUGAAGAGUGAGGUGGAUGCCACCAUCCGCGAUAACCCUCGACAAGGUCCUCGUUCUCUGAUUUGGUCAUGCCACCAACGUCGAUUGCCUCCACCAAGAUGACAUCGUGAGUGCCCUCUCUCCUAUCCCUCCUCUAUUCUUCAACCCCUCCAUGAGGGCUACUGUUGAGCUGAGCGAUCCUCAGGCCUUUUAUCCCCUCGCACGAACAUGCUCUCUCCCCCUUUAGUCAACGUACUCAUAGUCUGGUCUGCUCUGCAAUUUUGAAUUGAAUCAGUGGUGGUUAGUUUUGAGAUUGUCUGGUUGUUGCUGUUUGCGAGGAUGUGGUACUUGUAGCCUGUAUUAGUAUUUUUAAAGGAAAAUCAGCAAAACACCUAAACACAAGAACCUAGAUGACUAACACUAAGUAACUAUGGAGCUCACCACAUGUUAUUGUGCCCGCCAAACCUCUGAUUGCAUUGGAAAUAUAACUUAAAAAUAAAUUGUCUAUACUUGGUGUGAUGCCAUCUUCAUCUUUGGCAGAGGUACUGAAGCCACUGUCUAGAAAUAAAAUAAUUCCACUGUCUAGAAAUGUAUUUCUGUUUAUGAUGACCACCAACUGAUUUUACGAGUAAACUACUGGUCCAAUAGGUACUGAAGCAAUUGAAGGGCAAAGCAUUAAAGAGAGCGGUGCUGACUAAAUAAAAAUUGCAAGAGCAGAUUGCGCAGAGAAACAUUGCAAGGAAGAUUAUGAAGUUUGGGCAUCGUUCUGAUGGAUGAACCUUCUGGUACAAUGUGUAGACCAUGCGAACCGGAACGAUAUGAAGAAUCGUGAUUAUACGCUCACCCUCACAACAAAUGAUGGUAAAAUGAGAUUUUUGCCUGAGGGCAAUUGCACAUUUUGAAGACUAACAAAAUAGCCAUCUCUGGAUGUAGUGUUCUGCAGGGUAGGGGGUCCAAGUUGACUCACCAGAUGAAACUUGCAUUUCUAGUUGUGUAAGAAGCAAUGUCCAUGCAGGGUAGGGGUCUCUGUUAUUGUGCUUGCAUUUCUCGAGUUGUUUGUAAGAAUGAACGAUUAUGCACCCUCGCGUCCAGAUAGAAAUGCCAAAUUGAUUUACUGGUCCUACAUCAUAAUUCAUUCCUAAGAAUGCACCAUAGAGUAGAAUUCUUGAUUUCCCUUUUCUUUUUUAAGAGGAACGCAAGAUCAUUGAAUGAACGGAGGUCUAUUUGUUUUUUGAUGGUUCUAGGACGCUAAGCAAUUGGAGUUCCUCAAUGAAGUUCCUAAAAGAGUCAAGUAUUUUGCAUGUUCCUAAAAUUGCCAAGCCAUUCAAGAGGACUUCUACUGCUACACCGCACAUUAAUCGUUGAGUCGCAGGAGUGGGCGUAGAGUUCAGCAUGCGGGAUUUGGGCUGCAAAGCGAACAAAAAAGGCAUAAAAUCUCUGCAAAUCAUUGCUGAAACAGAAUGUAUAGAUCACCAGGCUCUUGGAACACCCGCCUUUUUUUGUUAGAUAGGAUGCUCGCUACGGUCAAGAUCAUUUUCAUGUUAAAUUACUUUAUUAUUUCUAAAUAAAUAUAAUAGUAUGAUUCAGCCAGUCAUUGAGGUUGCUGGUACGACUUUCUGUCUUUCAUCCAUAAAAACCAAGGCUUUGUGUUUUUUAUUGCAAAGAGGGGAGUAGUUAAUUUCUUCUCAUCAUGGUGACUUCACCCACCUGUGGAUAAGUCGAAUUCCUGCUAGCUCAGCACUGACCCCUUCCUCGUAUCAUGUGUUUACACACGCCUGACUCUCCUGUUGUUGAGCUAGACCAAACCCAUCUCUUGUAGGUCCUGUUGGUGCUGAGGAUCCUCUAAACAACAUGUCAUCGUCUCAGUUCGAGCCUGUGGUAAGAUAAGGAGCGCUGGUAGCCUGAUAGCUCUCCAUUCUCUGAAGCUAAAGCUUCCUUUUAGCUCAUUGUGUAUUUGCUCUGCUUUCAAGAGAAGGUUGUUGUCAACGUAUGAUCUGACAAGAGCUUUGUCUGGCCAAUUGUAGAGCUUGAUACCUUGAGACAACCUGGCAAGUGAGCUGCAACUAACACACAUGGAUGGACAUUUUAUUCAAGUGUAUCAUAAAGUUUAUUAUUGUGUAGAACUUUUUGCUUAUGGUGAUGUUUUACACUACUGCCACACUAAUAGUCAUGUCCUUGAUUCUUUAAAUACUUUGAUCAAAGCAUGUACAGGUCACUGCUACUAUCUUAGUUCUCAAAGGUAUAAUAUAAGUAUGAAUACCCUUGAGGAAGUUAUGUUUUGUAAAUGGUUGUCUUUGUAGGGUCAUGUUUUUACUAUAGUCGUGCUAUACUUGCCUCUGAAGGUGGAUAAAAAUUGUGAUCAUGUAUUGUGAAAUAUCAACUGUAUAGUAUUCAUCAUAUUUGUUUGAGAUUAAUGUCACGCUUAGUGUUCGUGCCAAUAGAUAGGUUCGUAGUUGAUGAUAAUAUGUAUUGUUUGUUUUCAUGUAAUCAUUAUAUACUAACUUUGUAUCGAAUAAUUUGUAUAUCGUCGCAGCGCACGGGCACGUACCUAGUAAUUAGUAAUAAUCUGAUAAAUGAGUCCAUUUCAGCAAAUUUAUGGAAUAGACCUAUGAUGCACCACCUCAUCUAUAAUGGAAUAAUUCUUCAAACCAAACAACCUUUUAGUUUGUUUUGUUGGCCUGCGAAACUGACAAAAUAAAGGUUCUUUUCGUUAGUUUGCCAAUUUGCUAAUGCAAUAUAGUGUUUUUCAUCAGCUAUUCAUGACCAAUAAAAAUAACAUUAUUGACGAGAUCUAAAUUUUUAAAAUUAACAUAGUUUCAUCACCACAGUAGGACAAUAAAAACAUGUUUUUUGGUAUAUCGGCCAAUCACUGCGAUGAGAACCGGCAGUGUUGCUCUCUACGGAAGCGCGGACGGUCCGCGGCGAGGGGCCGAAUGGUUCGUGACCUCACUACCGGACUCACGUUCUUUGUCGAGUGUCUCAGACACUCGGUAAAGGCCAUUUUACACUCGACAAAGAAUACUCGGCACACACUUUAUCGGCAAACGGUUCUUUGUCGAUUACUUUUUUCGGACACUCGGCAAAGACUUUGUACACCGUAUCCGUAUCGGCAAAGGGUUCUAUACUCAAGAACACCGUAUCGAUCGGUUGUCUCGUUUUGUACACGUGAAACAUACCAUGAAUAGAACGUAUCUGUACUUUUGGCAUAUGGAAAAAUCAAUUUCGUUGAUUUUGUUUCCUGUACUUAAAACGAUUCUUAUCAAAGUUCAAGUCGCCUUUUAAUAUGGAAUGCGCUUCUACAUGCAAAAACCAUUUCCAUCAAGGUUACUUGAUACAAAUAAUGAUGAUUUCUUGGCCAACUGAAUUAAGUCGCACUACAGUAACUGGACAUUUUUUCAACGGCAAGCCAAUGAAAUAAACUUAUCACAAUGUGUUUGGUUUGAGGCAUCUUCUCACUCCACGUUUUUUUAUUUGGUUUGUGGAAUCGAAUUAAUUGAUCCAUCACCAUUCCAUUCCUAAUAUAGGCUAAUAAUUAGUAAUAAUCUGAUAAAUGAGUCCAUUUCAGCAAAUUUAUGGAAUAGACCUAUGAUGCACCACCUCAUCUUUAAUGGAUUAAUUCUUCAAACCAAACAACCUUUUAGUUUGUUUUGUUGGCCUGCGAAACUGACAAAAUAAAGGUUGUUUUCGUUAGUUUGCCAAUUUGGUAAUGAAAUAUAGUGUUUUUCAUCAGCUAUGCAUGACCAAUAAAAAUAACAUUAUUGACGAGAUCUAAAUUUUGAAAAUUAACAUAGUUUCAUCACCACAGUAGGACAACGAAAACAUGUUUUUUCGGUACUAUCGGCCAAUCACUGCGAUGAGAACCGGCGCCGUUGCUCUCUGCGGAAGCGCGGACGGUCCGCGACCAGGGGCAGAACGGUCCGUGACCUCACUACCGGACUCACGUUCUUUGUCGAGUGUCUCAGACACUCGGUAAAGGCCAUUUUACACUCUGCAAAGAAUACUCGGCAAACAUUUUAUCGCCAAAGGGUUAUUUGUCGAUUUCUUUUUUUUGGACACUCGGCAAAGACUUUGUACACCGUAUCCGUAUCGGCAAAGGAUUCUAUACUCAAGAACACUAUAUCGAUCGUGAAAUCUCGUUUUGUACACGUGAAACAUAACAUGAAUAGAACGUAUCCGUACUUUUGGCAUAUGGAAAAAUCAAUUUCGUUCAUUUUGUUUCCUGUACUGAAAACGAUUCUUAUCAAAGUUCAAGUCGCCUUUUUUCUGGCGUGAAACACGAACAUUUGGGCUGGAAUAUGGAAUGCGCUUCUACAUGCAAAAACCAUUUCCAUCAUGGUUACUCGAUACAAUGAUGAUUUCUUGGCCAACUGAAUUAAGUCGCACUACAGUAACUGGACAUUUUUUCGACGGCAAGCCAAUGAAAUAAACUUAUUACAACGUGUUUGGUUUGAGGCAUCUUCUCACUCCUCGUUUUUUUAUUUGGUUUGUGGAAUCGAAUUAAUUGAUCCAUCACUAUCCAUUCCUAAUAUAGGCUAAUAAUUAAUAAUAAUAUGAUUAAUGAGUCCAUUUCAGCAAAUUUAUGGAAUAGACAUAUCAUGCACCAGCUCAUCUAUAAUGGAACAAUUCUUCAAACCAAACAACCUUUUAGUUUGUUUUGUUGGCCUGCGAAACUGACAAAAUAAAGGUUGUUUUCGUUAGUUUGCCAAUUUGCUAAUGAAAUAUAGUGUUUUCCAUCAGCUAUGCAUGGCCAAUAAAAAUAAGAUUAUUGAUGAGAUCUAAAUUUUAAAAAUUAACAUAGUUUCAUCACCACAGUAGGACAACGAAAACAUGUUUUUUCGGUACUAUCGGCCAAUCACUGCGAUGAGAACCGGCGGCGUUGCUCUCUGUGCAAGCGCGGACAGUCCGCGGCCAGGGGCCGAACGGUCCGUGACCUCACUACCGGACUCACGUUCUUUGUCGAGUGUCUCAGACACUCGGUAAAGGCCAUUUUACACUCUGCAAAGAAUACUCGACAAACAUUUUAUCGGCAAAGGGUUAUUUGUCGAUUACUUUUUUUUGGACACUCGGCAAAGACUUUGUACACCGUAUCCGUAUCGGCAAAGGGUUCUAUACUCAAGAACACCGUAUCGAUCGUGAAAUCUCGUUUUGUACACGUGAAACAUAACAUGAAUAGAACGUAUCCGUACUUUUGGCAUAUGGAAAAAUCAAUUUCGUUCAUUUUGUUUCCUGUUCUGAAAACGAUUCUUAUCAAAGUUCAAGUCGCCUUUUUUCUGGCGUGAAACACGAACAUUUGGGCUGGAAUAUGGAAUGCGCUUCUACAUGCAAAAACCAUUUCCAUCAUGGUUACUCGAUACAAUGAUGAUUUCUUGGCCAACUGAAUUAAGUCGCACUACAGUAACAAGACAUUUUUUCGACGGCAAGCCAAUGAAAUAAACUUAUUACAACGUGUUUGGUUUGAGGCAUCUUCUCACUACUCGUUUUUUUAUUUGGUUUGUGGAAUCGAAUUAAUUGAUCCAUCACUAUUCCAUUCCUAAUAUAGGCUAAUAAUUAAUAAUAAUAUGAUAAAUGAGUCUAUUUCAGCAAAUUUAUGGAAUAGACAUAUCAUGCAUCAGCUCAUCUAUAAUGGAACAAUUCUUCAAACCAAACAACCUUUUAGUUUGUUUUGUUGGCCUGCGAAACUGACAAAAUAAAGGUUGUUUUUGUUAGUUUGCCAAUUUGCUAAUGAAAUAUAGUGUUUUCCAUCAGCUAUGCAUGGCCAAUAAAAAUAAGAUUAUUGACGAGAUCUAAAUUUUUAAAAUUAACAUAGUUUCAUCACCACAGUAGGACAACGAAAACAUGUUUUUUCGGUACUAUCGGCCAAUCACUGCGAUGAGAACCGGCGGCGUUGCUCUCUGCGGAAGCGCGAACAGUCCGCGGCCAGGGGCCGAACGGUCCGUGACCUCACUACCGGACUCACGUUCUUUGCCGAGUGUCUCAGACACUCGGUAAAGGCCAUUUUACACUCGGCAAAGAAUACUCGGCAAAUGGUUCAUUAUCGACUACUUUUUCGGACACUCGGCAAAGACUUUGUACACUGUAUUCGUAUCAGCAAAAGGUUCUAUACUCAAGAACACCGUAUCGAUCGGUUGUCUUGUUUUGUACACGUGAAACAUAACAUGAAUAGAACGUAUCCGUACUUUUGGCAUCUAGAAAAAUCAAUUUCGUUAAUAAUAUGUAUUUUGUCAAAGUAUCAACCACAAUCUUGUUUGUGGCGCACUAGUAGCCAUUUUGUGUGAUAAGCAGCAGGUAUAGGGUUCGAUUCUUGGGUUUGAUUCUUCAUUUCUUUGUAGUUACUUUUUCAACCUUUUUAGUUUUAACUAUCUCUAUUUUAUUAGUCUGCGUGGGUCUAGGGAUUUCUCCAAAGUUUUUAUUUUAAAAAAUGUUUAUGUUUUUUAGUUUACGUGGGUUGGUGUUUUCUCUUAUUUUUUAUUUUAAAGUUGUUUCUAUGGGUUCGAUUCUUCACUUCUUUGUAGUUACUUUUUCAACCUUUUCAGUUUUAACUAUCUCUAUUUUUUAGUCUACGUGGAUCCAUGGUUUUCUCCAAAGUUUUUAUUUUAAAAAAUGUUUAUGUUUUUUAGUUUACGUGGGUUGGUGUUUUCUCUAAAUUUUUUAUUUUUUAAAGUUGUUUCUAUUUUCUAUGCGUGUUUUCUCCAAAUUUUUUAUUUUCAAAAUUGUUUUUGUCAUUUUUGCAUUGUUUGGUUGGUGUUUUCUCCAAAUUUUUACUUUUAAAAUUGUUACUAUUUUUAUAGUUUGAUUAUCAUUUUAGCUAUUCUUAUAUAACAAAUUACUCAUGAAUAUAUUAGAUCUAAGUCUAUAGUAAUAUAUUUAUAUAACAAUACAUGUGGGAAAUUCAAGCUUAAUCAAUUUUUAUUUAAACAUGAUUUCAUAUUCAAACUUAUUUCAUUGCCAUUUUGAUUUAUUUCAUUAUUUGUAGUGGCGUCUACAAUUUUGCUUUUUUAGGAAAUUCACAUGAGAAUUAUGACGACCAACAUUGUCAUGAAAUAGUGACACUUCCUGAUUGUCAUAAGAUUGAAAGAGUGUUCGUCACAAAUAUGACAACUUUCAUAUUUAUGACGAUUUUGCAUUGGUCUUAAUGACAAAGUUUUACUUUUCAUCACUAAAGUCAAUCAUCCCUACAAAACGUCAUAAGUAGGAGAAGCUUAUGACGUUUUGAUCUAUUAUCACAAGGUAUUCGUCAUAGAAGGCUAUAUGUUGCAGUGUGCGCAAUGAAAUGUCGCCAAAAAGUUGAACAACCAAAAGUUUUAUGAUGUACAUUGGAUUACUUGGAUUAGUUAGAUCAUCCUUUUCACCAUCAUAUGUUUUCUUUCUUCCACAACCAAACUGAGAUAAAGUGCAUUGAUGUUAAAUCUGAAAACAAAGUAGCCCGAGAUUGAUCAUCUAGGUUGCACACAUUCAACAUAAACAACAAAGAGAGAUCUGUAUUGAUAAGGUAUACAUGAGGUCGACAAAGUCAAUUCAUCGCAAUGAACACCUCUCUGAUGGAUCCAUAAAGUAAUAACAUAAUGGGGGUACCAUAAGACAACAAAGGCCACCUAGAAUGUCGAAAGAUCUUGAAGAAAGAUUUGCUUGGCACCAAGGGUGCUAGAAGAGGUUUAGUCAUAAAAAGGGUAAAAUUGUUAAUAGAUUAUAUUUUCCAAUUAGAUAGAUAGAUCACUGAGUUUCCCAUGACCCCCUUUGUUUGAAACGUAUUCUACAAACCAUUUUCACAUUUCCCACAAGAUCAAAGGAGAUUCCAAUAAUUGACCUCGAGUCGGCAUGAAGACGUGCAACCGAGGUAUGUUUUCUAGAGGUUACAAUGAUCAACAAGGGGUUGAUCUCAUAAUCAUUGUUAGAAAACUAACCGAUAACCUUCACUGUUUGAACCCCAAUUAAUUCAUUAUUAACAUGUUGCCCUUUGUAGGAGUUGCAUCUCCUAAAAUCACAAUUUCUGGUACAUCAACUAUCAAAGAGGUGAUAUUGGCGUCGCCUAGAAAAUUUGAUAGUCCCAAUACGAGCAAUAAAAACAUACUAUUUAUGAGGACUACAUAAUGUUAGGGUAGCAAAUGUAGCCACAAUGCGACACACAACAACAAGAAGGAAAACACAUCCAAACGAUUAACACGGGUCAUAAAGAAUUGGGAUGAUAAGGUGAAAACAAGGCAAGAUGUGGAAUCUUCAAGCAUAUCGUCACAAUGGAAAGUUUGCAAUACCAUGUUAUAAAUUAAAUUUUGUUUUAAAAUACAAACCAUUACUUAUUUGCCAUCCUAGCAUGGAUGUAAUAAAUUGUGCCACACAUCUUGCCCCAUACAAUACAUAUUAUUUUUCUAACAAAACGUGACAUUCUCAAUGUUGGGUGAGAACAAUGAUGAAUAUGUGACCCAACUAGAGUUGGAUGUUGAAGGAUGUGGAUGGUUUUGGGACGCAACAACAGGAGGAGAUCCCUCCAACAACCUUGCAUAUCCCAAUAGCAUUCUCCCCCAAGACGGCACAUGUUGCUCCACACAACUGCUCAUUGCAAUUGUUAGAUGUGGAGCAUUGUUCCCCUCCUAAGAGGGCACGACCACCUUGGCUUGCUGGCAUGGUCGAAGCAAGAAGAGCUAAUAAUAUUGGAACAACGAGAACAACAAGAGUCUUCUUAGAGAACGCCAUGAAGCUCUAGGGAUGGCUUUUUUCAAGUAGAGGAUACUUAGUUCCUUGAUGACGCUUGUAUGCUUUCUGUUUUUUUGCACGUAUAGAAUUGAGUCUCCCUAUUGUUGUGGGGCUAUGAUUAUAUAGACUUGAGCAAUAACAAAUUAACCAUGAGCAAUCAAUUUCUGCUAUUUUACUUAGAGAUAUCAUAUCUUUUGUUUUUACUUGUAGUAGCAAUAUCAUCUAAUAUAUAUUACCCACUCAAUUUUUAUGUUAAUGACAAUGCUAUUUAGAUCAAAUCUAUACAAUUAAAGGUUUUUAUUGGCAUUUACAAAAAAAUUACCUAAAAAUGCCAUACCUAUUUUGAUCUUUGUCUAUCAUGUUUUAAUGAUAUAGAUUCAUUACAUAUUAAUCUGGCACUCAAAUGCACUUAUUAUCUACCAAAGCACCAUAUCAAUUUUGAUUAUCGAGAAUACUGUAUUGACCAAAAUUAGCAACACAUUAUUAUGAUUUAAUUGUCUAUUUGGAUCCAGCCAAUUAGCAAUUAUUAGGUUCUAGAAUUUGAGUGUGGUGGAGCCUUAUACAUCUGGCUAUUAGGUUAGUGUUGGUCUCUUGUUCUCAAAUACUGUGAAUCAAGAACAAGGCAACAUAAUUGUUAAAGAUUAGAGACCUUCGUCCUCCAAGGCAUCAUCUCCUUUCAGAUAUAAUGAUCUUCAGACGAAGGUCAUGAAGGACGCACCUUCAGCUUGUUCGAAGGUGUUGACGCGAGAGCGAUUACAAUCCAGCGUGAAGAGUAUGGGACGCAGCCCGGGUACAAUUACAUUUAUAACCCCAAUAUGUACACAUAAUCACAACAUAAACCAUCACGGAUUAACUAGCCUUUUUCUCUUUGGCUCGGCAUCAUGCUUUCACCUUUGUCGCCACCCGUAACACCAUGAAUUUGGGGGUAUAAAAUUUCUUUUCUAAUAUCCACCAAAUUCAGGUGUUACUCUCUCCUUUAGCGCUUUUCUUCUCUUUUUUAUAAAUAAUGGAGAGUUAUUUUAUACAAGUUUUUAGUGUAGUAAAAUGAAACCCUAAAAGAGUUUUGAUUAUUGCAUCAUGCUGGAGCAACCAUUUUUUUGAUGAUGAUUGUGCUUUAUUGUGCAUUCGUCUAGAUUCAUAAGGCAUCGUAUAUUUUAAAUUCAAAACAUAAAGCAAUUUUAAAUAGAAAGGGAAGAAGAGAAAUAGACAAAGAAAAGAAGAGGAACAUAAAAGAAAAAGCCCAGAAUUCUUUCCCCUUCAUUUUCCCCAAUCGUGGCCCGUUCCCCCUUCCUGGGUCACUCGGCCACCCCGGCCCACGUGCCUUCGCCUCCCCCCUGCAUCUUGCUCGCACUCCUAGGCCACUGCGCGCGUCCACGGCCCAGUUCCCCCGCAUCCCUGGCUUGCUCUCGCAGCUCGCGUGGCCGGCCCACCCCGCGCGGCCCACGUGCCUUCAUCCCUUCAGCCUGCCCCGCACCGGCCCAAGCCCCUCUCCCGCUUCCAUUCGGCCCAGCUGACUUGGGCCGCGGUGCCACGCGCCAGCGCACUCUAGACGCUCACGCUCCUGUGCCCCAGCGGCCCGCGCGCGCGUGGGCAACGCCCAGCCGAGCGUCGCUGGCCUAGUGCCGCUGCAAUUUGGCCCCACCUGUCAUCUCUUUCAACUACCUCCUCCUUUUUCUCAGCUGUGCACGUGCCUAUGUCUGCUAGAUCCGUCAACGUCGCGGUGAUUUCGCAACAGUAGUUCACGCCCAUCUCAUUGGCCCCGUUCUUCCCUCUCUUGCGCAGCCACGACAUCUCGCCGGCCCUCCCUGUUGCGCGCGGCUCGCCCAUGCAGCCCGAGCUCCCGUCUGUGCGCGGCCUGCGCAGCUGUUGCGCAUGACUCGGCCGUGCAGCUUGCAGGUGCAGCCGUUGCGCGCGGCCCUGCGUGCCCGGCGCGGCCUGCUUCGUGCGACUCAUGCGGCCAGCGUGGCGCGCAGCCGGCGCGGCUCGCUUGGUGCACCUGGCGCGCACGUCAGCGCGACCCGCUGCUCGCAGCCAGGCUGUGCUCCGGCGCGGCCCGUGCGUGUGCCCCCAGCGCGGCCUCGCGGUCGCGUCCGGCGCGACCCUUCCGUGUGCCCCCGUCGUGGCCUCACGCUCGCGUCCGGUGCGGCCCGUGUGUGUGCCCUCGGCACGGCCUGCAUGUGGUUGGCGUGCCCGCGACUCGCUUGCGCAUGCCCGGCGCAACCUCGUGCGCAUCCUGCGUGACCCCAGUGUGUUGUCAUUGCCAUCGUCGUUCAUGCCCGCAGCAGCACCGGCGUAAUCUGCGCGGCGUAGCGGCAGCCUCGCCAUCGCUUCGCGUCGUGCGCGCAGCACGUCCUCGUGCUUCGCCACAAGCUCGUCCGGACGUCCGCCGUCGUCGCGGGGUGAGCAUCGUCUACGCGUUAGUAACAUCGUUUUGCCAUGUCUCAUGUUUUAAAUAAUUAAUUAUGUUUUUGUUUAACUAACGUCGAUUAAUUAGACUUUUCAAUUAAACUAAUUUAUAGUUUUUAAGUUGCGCUUUAUAAAUGCACGUCGACGUGAUUAAUAUUAACUCAAACGUUCUGCCCUAAUGUUCAUUUAAUAUAAACACGACGUUUAUUUAGUUUAUCUCGCAUGUCGCGCACGCGGUUUUGCACGUGGUUACGUGCUGAUCCGUGUGUCGUUCGCGCACGUCGUCGCGUUGGUUCGCGCGUGUCGCGCGAUGUCGUGCGCUUCGUUUCGCACAGUGUCACGUGUUGUCACACAUCAUUCGUGUGGGUCACGCGUUGUUCACGCACGCUGUUCGCACGUGUGGCGCUCGCCGUCAGCGUGUUUGUUCGCGUGUCCGUUCCAUGUGUUACUCGCGUGUUGUUGCGUGCGUGGUCACGCGUCGUUCGUGCGUGUCGCACAUGCUGUUUCACAUGUGUCGCGCGACGUCUGCACGUGGUAAUAAAUUGUUUUUCGCUUAUAAAGACUCAUGUUAAUAACGUUAAUUCGUCAGGCCAUAUAUUUUAGAUACUUAACUUAAGGUUCGCUCCACUAAUAUUUAUUAGAUUAAUAUUCUAAUUAGAUUAAAUGUGUAGUGUUUAACUUGGGCUUUUAUAAUAAAUAUUAACAUGACUAAUAUUAAUUUAACUACUUUCUAUUUAGUUAACACUUGUUUAGUAUAAACAUGUCACCGAUUUAGUUUUUCUCGCAUGUCGCGCGUGUUGUUCAGCACGCGGUGGCGUGCUACUUCGCGCGUCAUUUGCGCUGGUCGCACGUGCUGUUUCGUGUGUCGUUAGCAUGUUAUGUCGUGCAUGUCCGCGCGUCGUUCUAUACGCUGUCGUGUUGUUUCGUGUAUCGUAAAUUCGCCUCGCGUAGAAUCUCUCGUGUUAAUUAAAUUACUUAUUUAACUGAUAGCUGUUAGUGUAACAGAUUAAUCGAAACUAAAUGGUAGAGAUUAUUUAUAAUUGAUAAUGUCGAAUUAAAUGUUAUAGUUAAUAUUUGUUUAACGUAAACGCGAUAACUUCUCGACUGUAGCUUGACCGUCGUGUUUCUUAUCCUCGCAUAACCGUAGAAGCACUCUCUAUUUUAUAUUGCUUGUUUUUAUGAUGUUUUAUCUUGUAUGGUGUAAUGUUCUUAUGCAUAUGUAUAUGUUUGUUUGCUUGUGCCUGUUCGUCUUCGCUUCGCGUUGCGAUUAGAUCGCGAUUCGUUUCCAAGCUUCGAGGAAUCGACAAUCAAGCUUUGACGACCAAGUGACCAACUCUUCGAAUUCUACAAAGUUGAAGACCCUGAGCAUUCGUUUGGUGAAGGCAAGUGUCCUCUGACUAUUAUGUCCCAUUUACUUUAUAAUUCAUCAACCCGCAUACCAUGAUCCACCUAAGGAUUGACUAGUAUUCUGUUUCCUGUCCUUGUUUACCCUUUGGGAAUUGAUUAUUAUGAUUAGUUCUAUGCUAGCGCUUUACUUUAAUCAAUGAACAUGAUGAGAUACAAUGAUGAUACUAUGAUUUUAUUCUGGAUAUGAUGAUAUACUUGUGGAAUUUAAGGGGACUCGAGUGGUUUCUCGAGUGCCUCUCCGUAAGGACUGGUUCGUUGGAUGAUCGCCCGGGAAAACAGUGCAACCAUGAGGGUGGUAUGGGAUGCCCUUUGCUAAUUAAUUAGAGGAACUGAGGUGUAGUUUGCUUCGCCGUCGUGCCGUCAAUGGGGCUCGGUGUAUGCGGCUCGCUCUGCCGAGGGUGGAUUGCCCCUUGGGGAGGAGUGCGGUACAUUUAGGAAACCUAAUGGGCGGCUACAGCCUCAGAGAAUUUUUGUAAGGGCUUCAUAGUGAAUCCCUGGCCAUUCACCUUGGGAGUGAACAAGGGUCUUGCAAGCCAGGGCUAGAAAGGGAAUCACGGCUUGUAGGUAAAGUGGGCAACCUCUGCAGAGUGUUAUAAAACUGAUAUAUCAGCCGUGCUCGCGGUUAUGAGCGGCCAAGGGAGCUCCAUUGAUUAGAGAGACAUUGAUCAGAGAUGUUUUAUUUACAGGUGAUAAUGAGGAUGAUGAUUUUGAUUAUGAUUAUAGUAAUGGUUUCUAGUAUUCUUUCUGUUUUGAAAGAGUACUUUUGGGUUAACAACUUGGGUUAAUGUUAAAACCUGGCUCUCUACUAGUAAUAAUUCCCUGAUCAACUAAAAGCAACUACUUGACCUUAACCCCACAUAAAGCUAGUCCACUACAGCCAAACGAGACAUUUGCUGAGUAUAUUGAUAUGUACUCACCCUUGCUUUCACAAAACACCAGGUUGCUUUUGGUGCCAUCUAUGCUUAGGUAAAUAAGAAGGCAUCGAGGUGGAUCUCCAGAGUUCCAGGACGUCGUUGAGUUCGAGGAUUAGGCUAGCGACCUCCCUCAGUCAGCUGCCUGUGGUGGGUUUGUUUACAUUGGCUACGUUUCAAUUCUGUGUACUUUGAUUUAUAUUAUGUAAAUGGCUCUAGUCUGUAAUAUUAUUACUUACUCUUUAUUGUUAUUCGAAGCAUUGUGCUAUGAUGAGUCAUUUAUGUAAUCGCUGUUACGUGAAUUUCUGAUCCUGGCACGUACAUGGUUCGCAUUCAGUUUGCCUUCUAAAACCGGGUGUGACACCACCUUAAGCCGAAGCUAUCAUCCUUCGGUGGUAGCUUCAGCAUUCGUUGUUAUAGCUCUCAUAUAAUAUCUUAUCUUCAUCUCGAGGACCUUCGGCAGGGAGGAUCCUCAACAUCACUUUGAUAGUGAUACCUUUGUCUUGUGGACCUUCGGCGGAGAAGAAGACCCCCAAUAGUAGCCCCUUCGCAGUGCUAGAUCGUUUUUUGAUAACGAGCUCGAUCCGCGAAAAGUACGAAGGCUUCAGGAUGCCGAAGGUCUGAAAACACUUUCCUCGAGCUUGUUAUUAAAAAACGAAUAUAAAAUUCACAGCGCUUACCAGUCCACCGAUCAGCCAGUACACGCGUCUCGGCGAUUCACCAUCUUCUCCUGUGGGGCUAUAUAAACAUACAAGUUGGUGAGAAGUUACCACAACAUUCAUUGCUAUUGCACCGUUGUGCUACUGAAUUUUUUUACUGAAGCCGAAGCUUGCUGCUUUACACUUUGGACAAACAUUCCAUCGCUUAAGUGUAACUUUGUCUGUUAAAGACUGAAAACUGAAAAGACUAGAGUAAGAUCUACAUGUAAGCAACAAAGUGAAUUUAGGGUGUUAUUGUCUUUUCCCUUCAUAGUCUUGAUAAACAAGUCUUUAGGAUUUCUCCCUCCCCUCGUCAGUUUCUUUAUCGUGUGUGCACGCCAUUAAGCCGAAGCUCACAGCUUCGUUUCCACAGCGGAGGCAACUACAUGUCAUCUUGUACGAAGGUAGUGUUCGACAUUUUUACCCUGUUAAACCUGAAAUGGACUCAUAAGUAAAUUAUACCCCAAUGUUUUUCAGGACCUUCAGCUAAGGAAGACCCCCAACAAGCAUCUUCAUCCCUCGCUUUAAACCCUUAGCCUAGAACCCCCUUGGACUCAUACAACGGGGGAUGGAGGAAUAUAGAGGAAUUUUCACAUUUUUUUACUAAAGAUAUGUAACACUAUAUUAAGAUUUAUAUAUUCAAUAAAGGACCUAUAUGUAUAUUUGGAUAUUUGUAUGUUUUGUAUAUGCUCAUAUCCAUUGGGCAUGACUUGUAUGUGCAUAUGUUUAUUAAUGUACUCUGUGUCAAUACCAUAGCUUUGCAUAGAAAGCUAAAAAGAACUUGGUCCGAAGGGAAAUAGCUGACCUCGCGAUAUUAUAUUAAAAGAAAGUUUAAUCGAAGCCUAACCAAGAAAGAUCAUGAAAGUUGACUCUCUGUAUAGCAUGACUACAUGAGGUUCCACCUCGUAUAAACCAAAUUUUUACUCGUGCUACAUACUUUAUAGAAGUUCAUCAAACUUAAGGUAAUUUCCUGUGGGAUAUAUAAUAUACAAAUCUAUGAUAUUUGAGAGAAAGUCGUACAUGGAAAACUUCGCUCACAUGAAAAAAAAACAUUGAAACGACAGUAUAAGACUACUUGACAAAUACAAGGCCACACAUUUAUUCCAUUAUUAUUUCCUCAUAAAUACAAGGCCACACAUUUAUUCUGCAACACACGCAGACGUGAGAGAGAGAUCAAAUAGACUUGAAGGACAUGAGCUGGCGUUUUUUGGUGGAGUUUGGCAACGGAUCAAACACAACUGCUUGGUAAGACUGCUUGGUAAGACGACGUUGGAUCUUUGGUUGCGAGGUUGAGCUUGUAGUUGGUGCCGGCGACCACCUGUUCCAUGCCACUGACCACCUCGGCGAACUCCAAGCUCUCGCCAGUCUGCCUGUUGUGCUCCUUGACAGCCCAUUCGCCGACACCCUGGACAUAUGGGUCCUUGACGUUCUCUAUUUUGACAUACUGUCCGCUCAGCGUGGUGACACCUGCAGCUCUAGCAGACCUCCAGAUGGCUACGGAUGAUCCAGUGCAGCAGCGGUGGCGGCCAACAACACCAUGGCUCGGCGACGCCCACGAGCUCCGUCGGCCACAUAUGCUUGCUCUUCCUGCAGGUGCUCGUUAGAUUUGGCGGUCGCGGCCCUGACCACGACCAGGCUGCGGUGGCAGCGAGGAGCGGCUGCCUCCGUGAUGGGGACGCUAUUGUUUUUGUCAUUUUUGCAUUGUUUGGUUGGUGUUUUCUCCAAAUUUUUACUUUUAAAAUUGUUACUAUUUUAUAGUUUGAUUAUCAUUUUAGCUAUUUUUAUAUAACAGAUUACUCAUGAAUAUAUUAGAUCUAAGUCUAUAGUAAUAUAUUUAUAGAACAAUACAUGUGGGAAAUUUAAGCUUAAUCAAUUUUUAUUUAAACAUGAUUUCAUAUUCAAACUUAUUUCAUUGCCAUUUUGAUUUAUUUCAUUAUUUGUAGUGGCAUCUACAUUUUUGCUUUUUUAGGAAAUUCACAUGAGAAUUAUGACGACCAACAUUGUCAUGAAAUAGUGACACUACCUAAUUGUCAUAAGAUUGAAAGAGUGUUCGUCACAAAUAUGACACCUUUCAAUAUUUAUGACGAUUUUGCAUUGGUCUUAAUGACAAAGUUUUACUUUUCAUCACUAAAGUCAAUCAUCCCCUACAAAACGUCAUAAGUAGGAGAAGCUUAUGACAUUUUGAUCUAUUGUCACAAGGUAUUCGUCAUAGAAGGCUAUAUGUUGUAGUGCGCGCAACGAAAUGUCGCCAAAAAGUUGAACAACCAAAAGCUUCAUGAUGUACAUUGGAUUACUUGGAUUAAUUAGAUCAUCCUUUUCACCAUCAUUUGUUUUCUUUCUUCCACAACCAAACUGUGCAUAAAGUGCAUUGAUGUUAAUUCUAAAAACAAAGUAGCCCGAGAUUGAUCAUCUAGGUUGCACACAUUCAACAUAAACAACAAAGAGAGAUAUGUAUUGAUAAGCUAUACAUGAGGUAGACAAAGUCAAUUCAUCGCAAUGAACACCUCUCUGAUGGAUCCAUAAAGUAAUAACAUAAGGGGGGUACCAUAAGACAACCAAGGCCCCCUAGAAUGUCGAAAGAUCUUGAAGAAAGAUUUACUUGGCACCAAGGGUGCUAGAAGAUGUUUAGUCAUAAAAAGGGUAAAAUUGUUAAUAGAUUAUAUUUUCCAAUUAGAUAGAUAGAUCGCUGAGUUUCUCAUGACCCCCUUUGUUUGAAACGUAUUCUACAAACCAUUUUCACAUUUCCCAGAAGAUCAAAGGAGUUUCCAAUAAUUGACCUCGAGUCGGCAUGAAGACGUGCAACCGAGGUAUGUUUUCUAGAGGUUACAAUGAUCAACAAGGGGUUGAUCUCAUAAUCAUUGUUAGAAAACUAACCGAUAACCUUCACUGUUUGAACCCCAAUUAAUUCAUUAUUAACAUGGUGCCCUUUGUAGGAGUUGCAUCUCCUAAAAUCACAAUUUAUGGUACAUUAACUAUCAAAGAGGUUGUCGGUACCCUGGAUUAGGGGUACCCCUUACUACGGUAUGAAGGCACGAUGCCUGCGCGGCUACCCUUAGCUGCGCGGAGAACAACCCCAGGGGUAUCUCGUGAGCAGUUAAGGUGGCGUUCUCGGAGACAACGCCAUCGGGCCCAGAAGGCACAUGGCCCCUAUGCGCACAACCCGGACCCCCGAAGUAAAGCAGCCCAGAGCCAUUGGAUAGGGUUCGGACCCCAUCAAGUGAGCUCCGGACCACCCAUAACAAGGUCCCGGGAGAGGGAGUGUCGUAACCUAGGCAUGGGUCCGGUAUUGACGCGUGUCCAGGCUCUAUCCGGAGCACCUCCGCUGCCGCUCGGCCGAGGGUCUAAUGCGACCACAUGGCUUAUUGCCCGUGACGUAGGCCAUCGGACGGAUCAUGACAUAAGGGCUCUGAGCCGCGCGGCCUCCACAUUUAUUGCGGAAAGGACACGCCGCCUGUCCGCCCUUUUGACAGGUGAUGUGCCCCCACGACAUUUAUUGUGUCCUGUCCAUUCCGCUGGCAGGCGGCGCCAGGGCCACCCUGCAGACGGCGCACCUGUCCAGUCCGUUGCCGAAACAGUGCGCCCAUGCUGCGCGGUGCACUGUACUCAUCCCUUAUGCGAGAAGCUUCCCCCCUGCACGCCGAGGCUACGCAAAUCUCGGGUGUCAGGGCAUAAGAAGAUUGCUCCAGCAUAAGGUAUUAGUAGCUACAUCCGCUAUGUUACUGGGCCCACAUGUCGGGGCUCAGUACUCUUGUACAUGCCCCCUUUAGCUAUAAAAGGGGAGGCAUGCAACGUUACAACGCAAGCUCAAUCUUUAGGCUUAGACCCAAGUGAUCCAAGACUACUCAAGCUCUCAAGCCAUACAACACACAGUGGAGUAGGGUAUUACGCUCGGGCGGCCCGAACCACUCUAAACUCUUGCGUGUUCUUGUGUUCAUUCUUUCAUCUCGCAACAAGCAAAACGCUUAGGCCCCUCCUCAUCUUAGGAUUUAGGGCUGGUGCACUCCGCCACCCGGCCGGAGAUUUCCUCUCCGACAUUUAGCGCGCCAGGUAGGGGGCUAGGCAUUAGGUUUUUGCUUGUUUCCUUGCUCAACAUGAUGGUGCAAAUCAUUGAGCACCGCGUCGAGACUUCGGUGGAUUUCGUGGUGAAGGAAGAAGCUGCUUCUUCCAUGCCAUAGGUUCCCAACUGCCAUGUGUCGGGCACUGCUGCUGUGCACACCGCACGAUAGCAUACACCUGCACAGACAUCCCGGACUCCGUCGAGGGCGACUCUGGGAGCGUUGUCACCAGCCAGGGAGUUGCUGCGACACCCUCUAAGCUCCACGGCCUCACCAGGGGCCAUGAAGCAAUGGCGGGACGAUGUCGACCGGCUGCUCGGUAUGGCACAUUCUACCUCAACCAGGUCGAGGCCACGGUCAUCCCGGCGCCAAUAUGAGGCUCGACCGCAGGCGUGCGGGCGAGGACGCCUGGUCUCUUUGGAGAGGGCGCACGAGCGCCGCCAAAACAUUGAGGGCCGCAACCUCGAUCGAGAAUUCGUUGCGGUAGCACCGAAGACACCAAUGGGAACUCGGUCCCAAGCGGGUGUCCCUUUGGCCGGUGUGGGCUGCGCCGCUCUCGCGGAUCAUCUCCACGCGGUGUCAUGGCCACCCAAGUUCCGGCCGCACCUGCCAGAAAAUUACGACGGAACGACAAACCCGUCAGAGUUCUUGCAGGUGUACGUCACCGCCAUCACGGCAGCAGGUGGAAACACCGCUGUGAUGGCGACAUAUUUUCAUGUCGCCUUGUUUGGACCAGCCCGGACUUGGCUCAUGAACCUCGCCCCAGGGUCGAUCUACUCCUGGGAAGAUCUCUACGCACGGUUCGUUGCGAACUUCGCUAGUGCUUACCAGCAACACGGCGUGGAGGCCCACCUCCAUGCAGUGAAGCAAGAGCCCGGAGAAACUCUCCGGACAUUUAUCUCCCGCUUCACCAAGGUGCAAGGUACUAUACCUUGCAUCUCCGAUGCUUCUAUCAUCACGGCCUUCCGCUAGGGGGUACGUGAUAAAAAGAUGUUGGAGAAGUUGGCCACGCAUGACGUGGAAACGGUCCCCACUCUCUUUGCUCUGGCCAACAAGUGCGCCAGGGCUGCUGAGGGCCGUGCGUGGCACUCAGCGCCAUAGACCGGCGCUGCCCAAGCAGGCAGCCUAGGUGUCGUCGCUCAGGAUGGCAAGAAAAAGAAGAAAAAGAACCGAGGCAACGAGAAGCCGCACUCCGCCGCUCUGGUCGUGGCAGCUGCGACUAGGGGCCGGGGCGACCGCAACAAACGCCCACGGCCACCGAGGGGUAACAGCGGCACAUGCCCCGUGCACCCCAACGGUCGCCACAGUGCCGCAGAAUGUCGUGAGAUCAUUGACCUCGCGAAACCUGGCCUCCGGGGUCGAAGCCUGCCUUCCCCCAGAAACCCUUCUGGACUCCCCACGGGUCCAACCUUUCGAUGGGUUUGUGUAGGGGCCACCACAACGCGAGGACGUGGACUCAAGCGGCGGACUCAGGUCUCAAGUUGCAACCCGAAAUGCACAUCGUAACCAGAUGCCCAAGUACUAUGGCCGACGGUUCGUGCAUAGUAGGGAACCCAGGGUCGGGACCUAAUCCUGCGGCAAAGUACUGAACCAAGAGGGGAUCUGCAGCCUCUCCUCAGCAGGGAGUAACCCCUCAAGGCGAUGGAAAUAUGCCAACCCGAGGGAUGCCAACUUUGCUAUAGCUGAAGAAGUACCCCUUCCUAUCUCUGUAAGUUCAGUGCAUAGAAACAACUCUUAGGGGUUAAAUUUUUCUCCUUUCAUGAUUAAAUUUCGCAUAUGUGUACACCAGCCCGGUGAGGUCUGCCCACAUAAACCCGGCCUGUUGGUUUACACCCAUGCAUAUCAAGUUAUAAAGAGGAAAUUCACCCCCUCGGACGCAUUUCUAUGACAACUUUAUCUUCCUGCACCAUGGAUUUGGCCUACAGUUUUCAGAUAAUACCUUUUAUCUAACCCACCCGCACGGUUCCCAUCUGUCCUGACACUACGACAUCCAAAUUGAGCAGCCAGGCUUGCAGUUUAGGACCUCCUUUACGAAAGCAGGGAGGUCCGACAGCAUCGGGGCCGGUUCUAAAGAACGGGAGCUCGUUCCAUGAAGUGGUCCGGAGCAGUGUAGCCGCUUAGCCUGGUCCCGUACCGUAAGCCUGCACAGCCCACCAUUCUGUGAUGGGUGCCUUAGUAUUUGGAACUAUAGUCCUGUGGGUCCAACAACCUGGGGUCCGGCUCUAGAAAAUGGGCACUUGUCUCCUGGGGUGGUCCGGAGCCGUGUAGCCGCUUAGCCUGGUCCUGUACCGUAAGCCUGCACACUACACCGCCCUGCGACAGGAGUCCUAGUAUCUAGAGCCGCGACCCAAGGGGGUCUGGACACGCAACUUGGCCGCCCGAACUAAACCCUGCGAGUCCCGAGCAUGUAUCAAAGGAUGGCUAAUAUCAGACAGGGGACCCUAUGGGUGUACUACUAACGCUCCCGGCCGAGGCUGUGUACAAGUCCAGAUCCCGGCCGAGGCUCCCUCCCGAAAAUUGUUGACAACCCUUUCAGAUACGCUGGUAUCCAGCCUCGACACAUCAAGCCUGCAUCCCAGGCAGGGGCCAGGUAACAGGGAGCAGUCAACAACAUCACACACAGCAGGAACAGGCGGUACACAGAUAAGUGCUAACAUUGCUUGAUAAAUAGUACUCAAAAAUACCUUACAAAAAGCAAAAGUAUUACAUCCACCUUGAAGCGGAAUCCUAGUUCCAUCCCUAAUCUGCAGGUAUAAACUACUCGAUGCCAGCAGAGUUGCGCUGGAAGUUCGCGGCCGCUGUCCUUGCGGAAUCCCCCAGGACGGCGUAACAGCAGUGAUGGCCGCCUCGAUGCGUGCGCCAUCACGAAGAGGUCCUUGGCCCCAUCCUCCUAUGGGGGGCGACAACGAGGCCAUUAAAGCCAAAGAGUGGGAGGCUCGGCGGUAGGUGGCACUGGUGGUCUCGCCAGCGGAGGCAACCACCUCUGCAGCGGGCAGCCUCACCAGCGGCGGCGACCACCUCAGCACCGACGACAGCGGCCACCUCUGCACCGGUGGCCGCCUCAGCGCAUGCAGGAAGGUCCUCGCCCCCGUCCUCCUACGGGGGUGAGGACAAGACCAUCUAAGAACGCGGCCACCACCUCCAUAGCGUGUGACGUAUUGUACGACCCCCUGGGCGGCGUCAGAGCAGUGCGGCCGGCUGUGUAGGGAGCGCUACGAAUGCAGCAGACCUACGCACGGCACGACCGUCGCCCGUGCGGUGGACGGAUAGCCGCGCCCCGCUUGGUGGCGGGAGGCGGCGCUGGAAGUGGCGCCAAAGCCAUCCAAGCCAAGGAGCCAGACACACGGCAGCUGACGGCGCCUACAGCCGGCCGGCCCCGCGUAGCCGAAGUUCGCCUCCUCCGCAAGGCUAGUGAACAUCCUUCUCCUCCAAAUGCUGGAGGAAGAAGCGGGUCACCAGCCCAUGCGGAAGGCAGGACCCCAACUCGGCUCGCCUUCCACCCCAUCAAGGAUGAUGAACAUCCUUGAAGCUAAGGGCAGGGGGGAGGCUGCAGCCCGGAAUGCUUCUCUCCACCAUGAGGCUGGUGGUCAUCCUUGUAGAUGACCACUGGCGGGAGACCGCAGCCGGGCUGCAUGAUGAAAAUCCUUGAAGCCGAGCGAUGGCGGAAGAGCGCCAACCCCCACGAGGUCGCGCCCCUCCAACAGCAGCAAGAAGAAGACAAGACCGGCAGCACUACCGCGCUGGAAACAGAGAGCGCGAGCUCCCCGGCGGUGAGACCGUUGGGGGAGGUGGCCCUGACGUGGAUCCCUCCAGCGAACACCGGCGCGCCCCAUCUAGAAGCCCGGAAGGCGGAAGGGCGCGAUGAAUGCAAGAGAAGCAAGACAUGGCUGCUACUCGAAGGGUGAACCCCUUUUUAAAGGCAGAUUUCCCCACUCGCGCCCGAAGCAUCACGGGCAAGGUCUCCCCCGAUGCGCACCAGGAUUCCCAUUAUAUGACAUGGGGGCCAGGCCUCACACGUCGUGCAAGCUGGCCCGAAGUGCGGAGAAGGCGAAUCGUCGCAUAGGGAGCGUGCAACCGCCCUGCGGUUACACGCCCUUCCACCUUCGCCGCAAUCAGCGGUCGAGAAGGCGAAUCGUCGCACAGGGAGCAUGCAACCAUCCUGCGGUUACUCGCCCUUCCAUCUUCACCACAACCAGCGAUCAAGGAGGCGAACCGCCGCACAAGGAGCAUGCAACCGCCCCACGGUUGCGCGCUCUCUCAGCUUCGCUACAACCGGUGGUCCAACCUCUGGCAUGGGGGCCCAGGCCCACAUGUCAUACACCCGACGCGUCGGUUCCUGGGUGCAUGAAAGUUGCACCGCCGCUCGCGCCAAUACCGCGCCUCCUCGAGGCCGUCGCAGAGGACUAAGAAGAUAAAUUUUCAAAACCGAUGCAGCGACUCGAGGCACCCCGCGCAUGGCCCAACAAAGACAUUAAGUACGGAGGUCACGGGCCAGUCGGCCACAGGGGCAGGCGUGGCAGUCGGCGUGACCAUAGGCGGGCCGGCAGUAACUGCAUCAACGGGUGCGCAGGAGCAGCGAGCCGAUCGCCUGUCAAACUCUGGCCCCACCUGCAGGCUCACAUCCUCCCCUGAGGCAGGCCCGGGGGCCACUGUCGGUACCCUGGAUUAGGGGUACCCCUUACUACGAUAUGAAGGCACGAUGCCUGCGCGGCUACCCUUAGCCACGCGGAGAACAGCCCCAGGGGUAUCUCGUGAGCAGUUAAGGUGGCAUUCUCGGAGAUAACGCCAUCGGGCCCAGAAGGCGCAGGGCCCCUAUGCGCACAACCCGGACCCCCGAAGUAAAGCAGCCCAGAGCCAUUGGAUAGGGUUUUGACCCCAUCAAGUGAGCUCCGGACCACCCAUAACAAGGUCCCGGGAGAGGGAGUGUCGUAACCUGGGCAUGGGUCCAGUAUUGACGCGUGUCCAGGCUCUAUUCGGAGCACCUCUGCUCCCGCUCGGUCGAGGGUCUAAUGCGGCCACAUGGCUUAUUGCCCGUGACGUAGGCCAGCGGAUGGAGCAUGACAUAAUGGCUCUGAGCCGCGCGGCCUCCGCAUUUAUUGCGGAAAGGACACGCCGCUUGUUCGCCCUUCUGACAUGAUGUGCCCCCACGGCAUUUAUUGUGUCAUGUCCAUAUAUUCCACUGGCAGGCGGCGCCAGGGCCACCCUGCAUACGGCACACCUGUCCAGUCUGUUGCCGAAAUAGUGCGCCCGUGCUGCGCGGUGCACUGUACUCAUCCCUUAUGCGAGAAGCUUCCCCCUGCACGCCGAGGCUACGCAGAUCUCGGGUGUUAGGGCGUAAGAAGAUUGCUCCAGCAGAAGGUAUUAGUAGCUACAUCCGCUAUGUUACUGGGCCCACAUGUCGGGGCUCAGUACUCUUGUACAUGCCCCCCUUUAGCUAUAAAAGGGGAGGCAUGCAACGUUACAACGCAAGUUCAAUCUUUAGGCUCAGACCCAAGUGAUCCAAGACGUCUCAAGCUCUCAAGCAGUACAACACACAGUGGAGUAGGGUAUUACGCUCCGGCGGCCCAAACCACUCUAAACUCUUGCGUGUUCUUGUGUUCAUUUCUUCAUCUCGCAAUAAGCAAAACGCUUAGGCCCCUCCUCAUCUUAGGAUUUAGGGCGGGUGCACUCCGCCACCCGGCCGGAGAUUUCCUCUCCGACAGAGGUGAUAUUGGCGCCGCCUAGAAAAUUUGAUAGUCCCAAUACGAGCAAUAAAAACAUACUAUUUAUGAGGACUACAUAAUGUCAGGGUAGCAAAUGUAGCCACAAUGCGACACACAACAACAAGAAGGCAAACACAUCCGAACGAUUAACACGGGUCAUAAAGAAUUGGGAUGAUAAGGUGAAAACAAGGCAAGAUGUGGAAUCUUCAAGCAUAUCGUCACAAAUGGAAAGUUUGCAAUACCAUGUUAUAAAUUAAAUUUUGUUUUAAAAUACAAACCAUUACUUAUUUGCCAUCCUAGCAUGGAUGUAAUACAUUGUGCCACACAUCUUGUCCCAUACAAUACAUAUUAUUUUUUCUAACAAAACGUGACAUUCUCAAUAUUGAGUGAGAACAAUGAUGGAUCUGUGAACUAGCUAGAGUUGAGUAUUGAAUGAUGUGGAUGGUUUUGGGACACAACAACAGGAGGAGAUCCCUCCAACAACCUUGCAUAUCCCAAUAGCAUUCUCCCCCAAGACGGCACAUGUUGCUCCACACAGCUGCUCAUUGCAAUUGUUAGAUGUGGAGCAUUGUUCCCCUCCUAAGAGGGCACGACCGCCUUGGCUUGCUGGCAUGGUCGAAGCAAGAAGAGCUAAUAAUAUCGGAACAACGAGAACAACAAGAGUCUUCUUAGAGCACGCCAUGAAGCUCUAGGGAUGGCUUUUUUAAAGUAGAGGAUACUUAGUGCCUUCAUGACGCUUGUAUGCUUUCUGGUUUUUUGCACGUAUAGAAUUGAGUCUCCCUAUUUUUGUGGGGCUCUGAUUAUAUAGACUUGAGCAAUAACAAAUUAACCAUGAGCAAUCAAUUUCUACUAUUUUACUUAGAGAUAUCAUAUCUUUAGUUUUACUUGUAGUAGCAAUAUCAUCUAAUAUAUAUUACCCACUCAAUUUUUAUGUUAAUGACAAUGCUAUUUAUAUCAAAUCUAUACAAUUAAAGGUUUUUAUUGGCAUGUACACAAAAUUUACCUAAAAUGCCAUACCUAUUUUGAUCUUUAUCUAUAAUGUUUUAAUGAUAUAGAUUCAUUACAUAUUAAUCUGGCACUCAUAUGCACUUAUUAGCUACCAAAGCACCAUAUCAAUUUUGAUUAUCGAGAAUAUUGUAUUGACCAAAAUUAGCAACACAUUAUUAUGAUUUAAUUGUCUAUUUGGAUCCAGCCAAUUAGCAAUUAUUAGGUUCUAGAAUUUGAUUAUGGUGGAGCCAAAUACACAUGGCUAUUACGUUAGUGUUGGUCUUUUGUUCUCAAAUACUGUGAAUCAAGAACAAGGCAACACAAUUGUUAAAGAUUAGAGACCUUCGUCCUCCAAGGCAUCAUCUCCUUUUAGAUAUAAUGAUAUUCAGACGAAGGUGAUGAAGGACGCACCUUCGGCUUGUUCGAAGGUGUUGACGCGAGAGCGAUUAUAGUCCAGCGUGAAUAGUACGGGGGUACUGUUCACCUAUUUAUAGGCACGAGACACAGCCUGGGUACAAUUACAUUUAUAACCCCAAUAUGUACACAUAAUCACAACAUAAACCAUCAGGGAUUAACUAGCAUUUUCCUCUUUGGCUCGGCAUCAUGCUUUCACCUUCGUCGCCACCUGUAACACCCUGAAUUUGGGGGGUAUAAAAUUUCUUUUCUAAUAUCCACCAAAUUCAGGUGUUACUCUCUCCCUUACCGCUUUUCUUCUCUUUUUUAUAAAUAAUGGAGAGUUAUUUUAUACAAGUUUUUAGUGUAGUAAAAUGAAACCCUAAAAGAGUUCUGAUUAUUGCAUGAUGCUGGAGCACCCAUUUUUUUAAUGAUGAUUGUGCUUUGUUGUGCAUUCGUCUAGAUUCAUAAGGCAUCGUAUAUUUUGAAUUCAAAACUUAAAGCAAUUUUAAAUAGAAAGGGAAGAAGAGAAAUAGACAAAGAAAAGAAGAGGAACAUAAAAGAAAAGGCCCAGAAUUCUUUCCCCUUCAUUUUCCCCAAUCGUGGCCCGUUCCCCCCUUCCUGGGCCGCUCGGCCACCCCGGCCCACGCGCCUUCGCCUCCCCCCCACGUCCUGCUCGCACUCCUGGGUCGCUGCACGCGUCCACGGCCCAGUUCCCCCGCAUCCCUGGCUCGCUCCCACAGCGCGCGUGGCCGGCCCACCCCGCGCGGCCCACGCGCCUUCAUCCCUUCAGCCUGCCCCGCACUGGCCCAAGCCCCUCUCCCACUUCCAUUCGGCCUAGCUGACUUGGGCCGCGGUGCCACGCGCCAGCGCACUCCAGACGCCCGCGCUCCUGCGCCCCAGCGGCCCGCGCGCGCGUGGGCAACGCCCAGCCAAGCGUCGCUAGCCUAGUGCCGCUGCAAUUUGGCCCCACCUGUCAUCUCUUUCAACUACCUCCUCCUUUUUCUCAGCUGUGCACGCGCCUAUGUCUGCUAGAUCCGUCCACAUCGCGGCGAUUUCGCAGCAGUAGUUCACGCCCAUCUCAUUGGCCCUGUUCUUCUCACUCUCGCGCAGCCACGGCAUCUCACCGACCCUCCCUGUUGCGCGCGGCUCGCCCGUGCAGCCCGAGGUCCCCUAUGUUCGCGGCCUACACAGCUGUUGCGCGCGACUCGGCCGUGCAGCUUGCAGGCACAGCCGUUGCGCGCGGCCCUGCGUGCCCGGCGCGGCCUGCUCCAUGCGACUCGCGCGGCCAGCGUGGCGCGCAGCCGGCGCGACUCGCCUGGUCGCGGCCCCACUGCUCGCGGCCAGCGUGCCAGACGUCAGCGCGACCCGCUGCUCGCGGCCAGGCUGUGCUCUGGCGCGGCCUCGCGCUCGCGUCUGGCACGACCUGUGUGUGUGCCCCCGGCGCGGCCUCGCGCUUGCGUCCGGUGCGGCCCGUGCGUGUGCCCUCUACGCGGCCUACGUGUGGUUGGCGUGCCCGUGACUCGCUCGCGCGUGCCCGGUGCAACCUCGAGCGCAUCGUGCGUGACCCCGGUGUGUCGUCAUUGCCAUCGUCGUUCGUGCCCGCAGCAGCCCCGGCGUAAUCUGCGCUGCUUAGCGGCAGCCUCGCCGUCGCUUCGCGUCGUGCGCGCAGCACGUCCUCGUGCUUCGCCACGAGCUCGUCCGGCCAUCCACCAUCGUCGCGGGGUGAGCAUCGUCUACGCGUUAGUAACAUCGUUUUGCCAUGUCUCAUGUUUUAAAUAAUUAAUUAUGUUUUUGUUUACCUAACAUCGAUUAAUUAGACUUUUCAAUUAAACUAAUUUAUAGUUUUUAAGUUGCGCUUUAUAAAUGCACGUCGACGUGAUUAAUAUUAACUCAAACGUUCUGCCCUAGUGUUCAUUUAAUAUAAAUGCGACGUUUAUUUAGUUUAUCUCGCGUGUCGCGCACUCGGUUUUGCACGUGGUUACGUGCUGAUCUGCGUGUCUUUCGCGCACGUCGUCGCGUUGGUUCGCGCGUGUCGCGCGUUGUCGUGAGCUUCGUUUCGCACAGUGUCACGUGUCAUCACACAUCAUUCGUGUGGGUCGCGCGUUGUUCACGCGCGCUGUUCGCACGUGUGGCGCUCGCCGUCAGCGUGUUUGUUCGCGUUUCCGGUCCAUGCGUUACUCGCGUGUUGUUGCGUGCGUGGUCAUGCGUCGUUCGUGCAUGUCACACGUGCUGUUUCACAUAUGUCUCGCGACGUCUGCGCGUGGUAAUAAAUUGUUUUUCGCUUAUAAAGACUCGUGUUAAUAACGUUAAUUCGUUAGGUCAUAUAUUUUAGAUACUUAACUUAAGGUUCGCUCGACUAAUAUUUAUUAGAUUAAUAUUCUAAUUAGAUUAAAUGUGUAGUGUUCAACUUGUGAUUUUAUAAUAAAUAUUAACAUGGCUAAUAUUAAUUUAACUACUUUCUAUUUAGUUAACACUUGUUUAGUAUAAACAUGUCACCGAUUUAGUUUUUCUUGUCUGUCGCGCGUGCUGUUCAGCACGCGGUGGCUUGCUACUUCGCGCUGGUCACACGUGUUGUUUCGUGUGUCGUUAGCGUGUUAUGUCGUGCAUAUCCGCGCGUCAUUCUAUACGCUGUUGUGUUGUUUCGUGUAUCGUAAAUUCGCCUCGCGUAGAAUCUCUCGUUUUAAAUAAAUUACUUAUUUAACUGAUAGCUAUUAGUGUAGCAGAUUAAUCGAAACUAAAUGGUAGAGAUUAUUUAUAUUUGAUAAUGUCGAAUUAAAUGUUAUAGUUAAUAUUUGUUUAACGUAAACACGAUCACUUCUCGACCGUAGCUUGACCGUCGUGUUUCUUAUCCUCGCAUAACCGUAGAAGCACUCUCUAUUUUAUAUUGAUCGUUUUUAUGAUGUUUUAUCUAGUAUGGUGUAAUGUUCUUAUGCAUAUGUAUAUGAUUGUUUGCUUGUGCCUGUUCGUCUUCACUUCGCGUUGCGAUUAGAUCGCGAUUCGUUUCUGAGCUUCGAGGAAUCGACAAUCAAGCUUUGACGACCAAGUGACCAACUCUUCGAAUUUUACAAAGUUGAAGACCCUGAGCAUCCGUUUGGUGAAGGCAAGUGUCCUCUGACCUAUUAUGUCCCAUUUACUUUAUAAUUCAUCAACCCGCAUACCAUGAUCAACCUAAGGAUUGACUAGUAUUCUGUUUCCUGUCCUUGUUUACCCUUUGGGAAUUGAUUAUUAUGAUUAGUUCUAUGCUAGCGCUUUACUUUAAUCAAUGAACAUGAUGAGAUACAAUGAUGAUACUAUGAUUUUAUUCUGGAUAUGAUGAUAUACUUGUGGCAUUUAAGGGGACUCGAGUGGUUUCUCGAGUGCCUCUUCGUAAGGACUGGUUCGUUGGAUGAUCGCCCGGGAAAACAGUGCAACCAUGAGGGUGAUAUGGGACGCCCUUAGCUAAUUAAUUAGAGGAACUGAGGUGUAGUUUGCUUCGCCGUUGUGCCGUCAAUGGGGCUCGGUGUAUGCGGCUCGCUCUGUCGAGGGUGGAUUGCCCCUUGGGGAGGAGUGCGGUACAUUUAGGAAACCUAAUGGGUGGCUACAGCCUCAGAGAAUCUUUGUAAAGGCUUCAUAGUGAAUCCCUGGCCAUUCACCUUGGGAGUGAACAAGGGUCUUGCAAGCCCGGGCUAGAAAGGGAAUCACGGCUUGUGGGUAAAGUGCGCAACUUCUGCAGAGAGUUAUGAAACUGAUAUAUCAGCCGUGCUCGCAGUUAUGAGCGGCCAAGGGAGCUCCAUUGAUUAGAGACACAUUCACUACCGGAAUCCGAGGCUUUGCCGAGUGUUGUAUUCUUUGCCGAGUGCCUUUUGUCGGGCACUCGGCAAAGAAGGCUUUGCCGAGUGCCGCACUCGGUAAAGUUAGGCUCUCGACAAAGAGCCCCUUUACCGAGUGCUGAACACUCGGCACAGGACGACACUCGGCAAAGAAAAGUUUGCCGAGUGUCAAACACUCGGCAAAGAGGGCUCUCGGCAAAGGGCCGUCAGCGGCCGUCCCAAAGCUGACGGCCGUCAGUCUUUGCCGAGAGCCAAUGGCUGGCACUCGGCAAAGAGGCUUCUUUGCCGAGUGCCACAUAGUAGGCACUCGGCAAAGGAGGCUUUGCCGAGUGUCAUCUCUAGACACUCGGCAAAGUAUAUUUUUAUUUUUUAAUGUUGUCUCUCAAACUUUUUGUGGUAUGUUCCUACACUAUGUAGACCUACAUGUAUCAUUUGUGGACAAUUAUAACAUAGUUUCAAUCGUUAGUAGAUUUAGUUCGUUUAUUUGAAUUUCUUCGGAAAAUUCAAAUUUGAACUGCAGGUCACUCGAAACUUGGAAAACCGUGCAUGAAAAAAUGAUAUUCAUGUUACUUAGCAUAAGUUAUGACCGAUUGCAGAAGCGUACCGGAAACUUCGAGCAACAUGCUCACUAAACAUGGCCGUGAACUUGGCAUCCACAUGUUUAAAAAUUGUAUAAAACACAAACAAAGUCAGAAAAUCAUGAAACUUGUCCACGUGUCAUGAUAUCAUUUGUACAGGCUGUGAUAAAAAUUUUAGAAUGUUUGGAGAAAGUUGUGAGACACUAUGUGUAGAAACCUAGAGGACUACACAUGAAAUCAAAGAGUUUCAAUGUGGAGUCUUCUAGGUUUCAAUGUGUAGAAACCUAAGAGAUCCACAUUGAAACUCUUUGAUUUCAUGUGUAGUCCUCUAGGUUUCUGAUAGUCGCCUAGAGGGGGGGUGAAUAGGGCGAAACUGAAAUUUACAAAUAUAAUCACAACUACAAGCCGGGGUUAGCGUUAGUAAUAAAGAAACGAGUCCGAGAGAGAGGGCGCAAAACAAAUCCCAAGCGAAUAAGCAAGUGAGACACGGAGAUUUGUUUUACCGAGGUUCGGUUCUUGCAAACCUACUCCCCGUUGAGGAGGCCACAAAGGCCGGGUCUCUUUCAACCCUUCCCUCUCUCAAACGAUCCACAGAUCGAGUGAGCUUUUCUUCUUCUCAAUCAAAACGGGAACAAAACUUCCCCGCAAGGGCCACCACACAAUUGGUGCCUCUUGCCUUGGUUACAAUUGAGUUUUGAUCACAAGAGCAAGUGAGAAAGAAAGAAAGCGAUCCAAGCGCAAGAGCUCAAAAGAACACGGCAAAUCUCUCUCGCUAGUCACUAAAGGCUUGAGUGGAAUUGGAGAGGAUUUGAUCUCUUGGGUGUGUCUAGAAUUGAAUGCUAGAGCUCUUGUAGUAGUUGGGAAGUAGAAAACUUGGAUGCAAUGAAUGGUGGGGUGGUUGGGGUAUUUAUAGCCCCAACCACCAAAUGUGGUCGUUGGGAGGCUGUCUGUUCGAUGGCGCACCGGACAGUCCGGUGCACACCGGACAGUCCGGUGCCCCCUGCCACGUCAUCACUGCCGUUGGAUUCCAACCGUUGGAGCUUCUGACUUGUGGGCCCGCCUGGAUGUCCGGUGCACACCGGACAGGUACUGUUUGAUGUCCGGUGUGCCAGAGUGGGCGCGCCUGACAUCUGCGCGCGCUGCGCGCGCAUUUAUUGCGUCGCAGGUAGCCGUUGGCGCGGAGGUAGCCGUUGCUCCGGAGUUGCACCGGACAGUCCGGUGCACACCGGACAGUCCGGUGAAUUUUAGCGGACUAGCCGUUGGAGUUUCCCGAAGCUGGCGAGUUCCUGAGGCCGACCUCCCAUGGCGCACCGGACACUAAAGCGCCUUAGAGAGCUUAUAGACAUGGUUAGGGUACUCACUGUCUUCAAAGCCGGGAGGUUGCUCAACAUAGACCUCUUCCUUGAUUGGUCCAUUGAGGAAGGCACUUUUCACGUCCAUUUGGUAAAGCUUGAAGCCAUGGUAAGUAGCAUAGGCUAAUAAUAUACGAAUUGACUCAAGCCUAGCUACGGGUGCAUAGGUUUCACCGAAAUCCAAACCUUCGACUUGGGAGUAUCCCUUGGCCACAAGUCGGGCUUUGUUCCUUGUCACCACACCAUGCUCAUCUUGCUUGUUGCGGAAGACCCAUUUGGUUCCUACAACAUUUUGGUUAGGACGUGGAACUAAAUGCCAUACCUCAUUUCUAGUGAAGUUGUUGAGCUCCUCUUGCAUUGCCACCACCCAAUCCGAAUCUUGAAGUGCUUCCUCUACCUUGUGUGGCUCAAUAGAGGAAACAAAAGAGUAAUGUUCACAAAAAUGUGCAAUACGAGAUCUAGUGGUUACCCCCUUUUGAAUGUCGCCGAGGAUGGUGUCGACGGGGUGAUCUCGUUGGAUUGCUUGGUGGACUCUUGGGUGCGGCGGUCUUGGCUCUUCAUCCUCCUUGUCUUCUUCAUUUGCAUCUCCCCCUUGAUCAAUGCCAUCAUCUUGAUGUGGCUCAUUUGCUUGAUCUUGCCCUUCAUCAACUUGAGCCUCAUCCUCAUUUUGAGUAGGUGGAGAUGCUUGCGUAGAGGAGGAUGGUUGAUCUUGUGCUUUUGGAGGCUCUUCGGAUUCCUUAGGACACACAUCCCCGAUGGACAUGUUCCUUAGCGCGAUGCACGGAGCCUCUUCAUUACCUAUCUCAUCAAGAUCAACUUGCUCUACUUGAGAGCCGUUAGUCUCAUCAAACACAACGUCACAUGAGACUUCAACUAGUCCAGUGGACUUGUUAAAGACCCUAUAUGCCCUUGUGUUUGAGUCAUAACCAAGUAAAAAGCCUUCUAUAGUUUUAGGAGCAAAUUUAGAUUUUCUACCUCUUUUGACAAGAAUAAAACAUUUGCUACCAAAAACUCUAAAAUAUGAAAUGUUUGGCUUUUUACCGGUAAGGAGUUCAUAUGAUGUCUUCUUGAGGAUUCAGUGUAGAUAUAACCGGUUGAUGGCGUAGCAGGCGGUGUUGACCGCUUCCGCCCAAAACCGAUCCGAAGUCUUGUACUCAUCAAGCAUGGUCCUUGCCAUGUCUAAUAGAGUUCGAUUCUUCCUCUCCACUACACCAUUUUGUUGAGGUGUGUAGGGAGAAGAGAACUCAUGCUUGAUGCCCUCCUCCUCAAGGAAGCCUUCGAUUUGUGAGUUCUUGAACUCUGUCCCGUUGUCGCUUCUUAUUUUCUUGAUCCUUAAGCCGAACUCAUUUUGAGCCCGUCUCAAGAAUCCUUUUAAGGUCUCUUGGGUUUGGGAUUUUUCCUGCAAAAAGAAUACCCAAGUGAAGCGAGAAUAAUCAUCCAUAAUAACUAGACAGUACUUACUCCCGCCGAUGCUUAUGUAAGCAAUCGGGCCGAAUAGAUCCAUGUGUAGGAGCUCCAGUGGCCUGUCAGUCGUCAUGAUGUUCUUGUGUGGAUGAUGGGCUCCAACUUGCUUCCCUGCCUGGCAUGCGCUACAAAUCCUGUCUUUCUCAAAAUGAACAUUUGUUAAUCCUAAAAUAUGUUCUCCCUUUAGAAGCUUGUGAAGAUUCUUCAUCCCAACAUGGGCUAGUCGGCGGUGCCAGAGCCAACCCAUGUUAGUCUUAGCAAUUAAGCAUGUGUCGAGUUCAGCUCUAUCAAAAUCUACUAAGUAUAGCUGAACCUCUAACACACCCUUAAAUGCUAUUGAAUCAUCACUUCUUCUAAAGACAGUGACACCUACAUCAGUAAAAAGACAGUUGUAGCCCAUUUGACAUAAUUGUGAAACGGAAAGCAAAUUGUAAUCUAAAGAAUCUACAAGAAAAACAUUUGAAAUGGAAUGGUCAGGGGAUAUAGCAAUUUUACCCAAGCCUUUGACCAAACCUUGAUUUCCAUCCCCGAAUGUGAUCGCUCUUUGGGGAUCUUGGUUUUUCUCAUAUGAGGAGAACAUCUUCUUCUCCCCUGUCAUGUGGUUUGUGCACCCGCUGUCGAGUAUCCAACUUGAGCCCCCGGAUGCAUAAACCUACAAAACAAAUUUAGUUCUUGACUUUAGGUACCCAAACUGUUUUGGGUCCUUUGGCAUUAGAAACAAGAACUUUGGGUACCCAAACACAAGUCUUUGAUCCCUUGUGUUUGCCCCCAACAAACUUGGCAACGACCUUGCCGGAUUUGUUAGUCAAAACAUAAGAUGCAUCAAAAGUUUUAAAUGAAAUGUCAUGAUCAUUUGAUGCACUAGGAGUUUUCUUCUUAGGCAACUUAGCACGGGUUGGUUGCCUAGAACUAGAUGUCUCACCCUCAUACAUAAAAGCAUGAUUAGGGCCAGAGUGAGACUUCCUAGAAUGAAUUCUCCUAAUCUUGCUCUCAGGAUAACCGGCAGGGUAUAAAAUGUAAUCCUCGUUAUCCUGAGGCAUGGGAGCCUUGCCCUUAACAAAAUUAGACAAUUUUUUAGGAGGGACAUUAAUUUUGACAUUGUCUCCCCUUUGGUAGCCAAUGCCAUCCUUAAUGCCAGGGCGUCUCCCAUUAUACAACAUGCUUCGAGCAAAUUUGAAUUUCUCAUUCUCUAGGUUGUGCUCGGCAAUUUUAGCAUCUAGUUUUGCUAUAUGAUCAUUUUGUUGUUUGAUUAAAGCCAUAUGAUCAUGAAUAGCAUCAAUAUCAACAUUUCUACAUCUAGUACAAAUAGAUACAUGCUCAACAAUAGAUGUAGAAGGUUUGCAAGAUUUUAAUUCUACCACCUUAGCUUGUAACAUGUCAUUCUUAGUUCUAAGGUCGGAAAUUGUAACAUUGCAAACAUCUAGUUCUUUAGCCUUAGCAAUUAAUUUUUCAUUCUCACUUCUAAGGCUAGCAAGAGAAAUGUUCAAUUCUUCAAUCCUAGCAAGCAAAUCAUCAUUAUUAUCUCUAGGAUUGGGAAUUGAAACAUUGCAAACAUGUGAAUCAAUCUUAGCAUUUAAACUAGCAUUUUCAUUCCUAAGGUUGUCAAUAAUCUCACGGCAAGUGCUUAGCUCACUAGACAAUUUUUCACAUUUUUCAACUUGUAGAGCGUAAGCAUUUUUAACCUUAACAUGUUUCUUGUUUUCUUUAAUUAGGAAGUCCUCUUGGGAAUCCAAGAGAUCAUCCUUCUCAUGAAUAGCACUAACUAAUUCAUUUAAUUUUUCCUUUUGUUCCAUGUUAAGGUUGGCAAAAAGAACGCGCAAGUUAUCCUCCUCAUUGCUAGCAUCAUCCUCAUCACUAGAGGUUUCAUAUUUAGUGGAGGAUCUUGAUUUUACCUUCUUCCUUUUGCCGUCCUUUGCCAUGAGGCACUUGUGGCCGACGUUGGGGAAGAGGAGUCCCUUGGUGACGGCGAUGUUGGCGGCGUCCUCGUCGGUGGAGCUCUCGUCGGAGUCCCACUCGCGGCACACAUGGGCAUCGCCGCCCUUCUUCUUGUGGUAUCUCUUCUUUUCCCUCCUCUUUCCCUUCUUGUCGUUAUCCCUGUCACUGUCACUUGAUAAUGGACAUUUAGCAAUAAAGUGACCGGGCUUACCACACUUGUAGCAAACCUUCUUGGAACGGGAUUUGUAAUCCUUCCCCUUCCGUUGCUUGAGGAUUUGGCGAAAGCUUUUGAUGAUUAAAGCCAUCUCCUCAUUGUCGAGCUUGGAGGCGUCAAUUGGUUGUCUACUUGGUGUAGACUCCUCCUUCUUCUCCUCCGUCGCCUUUAAUGCCACCGGUUGAGCUUCGGACGUGGAGGGUUCAUCAAGCUCGUUGAUUUUCUUGGAGCCUUUGAUCAUGCAUUCAAAGCUCACAAAAUUCCCGAUAACUUCCUCGGGGGUCAUUUUAGUAUAUCUAGGAUUACCACGAAUUAAUUGAACUUGAGUGGGGUUAAGGAAAAUGAGUGAUCUAAGAAUAACCUUAACCACCUCGUGAUCAUCCCACUUUAUGCUCCCGAGGUUGCACACUUGGUUCACCAAGGUCUUGAGCCGGUUGUACAUGUCUUGUGGCUCCUCCCCUUGGCGAAGACGGAAGCGACCGAGCUCCCCCUCAAUCGUUUCCCGGUUGGUGAUCUUGGUGAGUUCAUCACCUUCGUGCGCGGUCUUGAGUAGGUCCCAAAUCUCCUUUGCAUUCUUCAACCCUUGUACUUUGUUGUAUUCCUCCUUACUUAGAGAAGCAAGGAGUAUGGUUGUAGCUUGAGAGUUGAAGUGCUCGAUUUGGGCGACCUCAUCCUCAUCGUAGUCGGCAUCCCCUACGGACGGUACCUGUGCACCAAACUCAAUAACAUCCCAUAUACUUUUGUGGAGCGAGGUUAGAUGAAAUCGCAUUAGAUCGCUCCACCUAGCGUAAUCUUCACCAUCAAAAGUUGGUGGUUUGCCUAAUGGGACGGAAAGUAUGUUUAGAAAUGCGAGGGUAGCGUAGGGGGAUCUUACUAUACUUCUUGCGCUCUUGGCGCUUAGAAGUGACGGAUGGCGCAUCGGAGUCGGAGGUCGAUGGUGAUGAAGUAUCGGUCUCGUAGUAGACCACCUUCCUCAUCCUCUUGUGCUUGUCGCCUUUCCGAUGCGACUUGUGAGAAGAGGAUUUCUCCUUCUUCUCUUUGUGAUGAGAAGAGGAUCUCCUCUCCUUCCCUUUGGACGAGUCCUUCUUCUUCUCCUUUCUCUUGGUGCGGGACUCUUCCGAUGAAGUGCUCCCGUGGCUUGUAGUGGGCUUUUCGCCGGUCUCCAUCUCCUUCUUGGCAUGAUCUCCCGACAUCACUUCGAGCGGUUAGGCUCUAAUGAAGCACCGGGCUUUGAUACCAAUUGAUAGUCGCCUAGAGGGGGGGUGAAUAGGGCGAAACUGAAAUUUACAAAUAUAAUCACAACUACAAGCCGGGGUUAGCGUUAGUAAUAAAGAAACGAGUCCGAGAGAGAGGGCGCAAAACAAAUCCCAAGCGAAUAAGCAAGUGAGACACGGAGAUUUGUUUUACCGAGGUUCGGUUCUUGCAAACCUACUCCCCGUUGAGGAGGCCACAAAGGCCGGGUCUCUUUCAACCCUUCCCUCUCUCAAACGAUCCACGGAUCGAGUGAGCUUUUCUUCUUCUCAAUCAAAACGGGAACAAAACUUCCCCGCAAGGGCCACCACACAAUUGGUGCCUCUUGCCUUGGUUACAAUUGAGUUUUGAUCACAAGAGCAAGUGAGAAAGAAAGAAAGCGAUCCAAGCGCAAGAGCUCAAAAGAACACGGCAAAUCUCUCUCGCUAGUCACUAAAGGCUUGAGUGGAAUUGGAGAGGAUUUGAUCUCUUGGGUGUGUCUAGAAUUGAAUGCUAGAGCUCUUGUAGUAGUUGGGAAGUAGAAAACUUGGAUGCAAUGAAUGGUGGGGUGGUUGGGGUAUUUAUAGCCCCAACCACCAAAUGUGGUCGUUGGGAGGCUGUCUGUUCGAUGGCGCACCGGACAGUCCGGUGCCCCCUGCCACGUCAUCACUGCCGUUGGAUUCCAACCGUUGGAGCUUCUGACUUGUGGGCCCGCCUGGAUGUCCGGUGCACACCGGACAGGUACUGUUUGAUGUCCGGUGUGCCAGAGUGGGCGCGCCUGACAUCUGCGCGCGCUGCGCGCGCAUUUAUUGCGCCGCAGGUAGCCGUUGGCGCGGAGGUAGCCGUUGCUCCGGAGUUGCACCGGACAGUCCGGUGUACACCGGACAGUCCGGUGAAUUUUAGCGGACUAGCCGUUGGAGUUUCCCGAAGCUGGCGAGUUCCUGAGGCCGACCUCCCAUGGCGCACCGGAUACUGUCCGGUGUACACCGGACAGUCCGGUGAAUUAUAGCGGAGUCGCCUUUGGAAAUUCCCGAAGGUGGCAAGUUUGAGUCUGAGUCCCCCUGGUGCACCGGACAUGUCCGGUGGCACACCGGACAGUCUGGUGCGCCAGACCAGGGGUGCCUUCGGUUGGCCCUUUGCUCCUUUGUUGAAUCCAAAACUUGAUCUUUUUAUUGACUGAGUGUGAACCUUUUACACCUGUAUAAUCUACACACUUGGGCAAACUAGUUAGUCCAAAUAUUUGUGUUGGGCAAUUCAACCACCAAAAUUAAUUAGGGACUAGGUGUAAGCCUAAAUCCCUUUCAGUUUCUACACAUAGUGUCUCACAACUUUCUCCAAACAUUCUAAAAAUUUUAUCACAGCCUGUACAUAUGAUAUCAUGACACGUGGACAAGUUUCAUGAUUUUCUGACUUUGUUUGUGUUUUAUACAAUUUUUAAACAUGUGGAUGCCAAGUUCACGACCUUGUUUAGUGAGCAUGUUGCUCGAAGUUUCCGGUACGCUUCUGCAAUCGGUCGUAACUUAUGCUAAGUAACAUGAAUAUGAUUUUUUCAUGCACGGUUUUCCAAGUUUCGAGUGACCUGCAGUUCAAAUUUGAAUUUUUCGAAGAAAUUCAAAUAAACGAACUAAAUCUACUAACGAUUGAAACUAUGUUAUAAUUGUCCACAAAUGAUACAUGUAGGUCUACAUAGUGUAGGAACAUACCACAAAAAGUUUGGGAGACAAAAUAAAAAAAUAAAAAUAUACUUUACCGAGUGUCUAGAGGUGACACUCGGCAGUGUCAAAAGGGUGACACUCGGCAAAGUGUAAUGACAGAAUCUUUGCCGAGUGUCCCCCGGUUGACACUCGGCAAAGACGCUUUUGCCGAGUGCCGCAUCUAGGGCACUCGGCAAAGUGUAUUUUAAAAUUAAAAAAAAAUCUUUGCCGAGUGCCAGAUCGCGGGCACUCGGCAAAGACCGUUUACAUACCGCCAGUUAACCCUUUCUUCCUCACUCUCUUUCACACCAUCGCCGCUGCCGCGCCCUCGCCGUCCGGUUCGCCGCCGCCGCGCCCCCCGCCCUCGACGCGCCCCGCCAGGCCGCGCCGCGUCGCCGAGCGCGCGCUCGUCGCCGCGCCGGCGCCCCCCCCCCGCGCCGCCGCGCUCUCGCUGUUCGCCGCGCCGUCGCGCGCUGCUCCGGGGCCGAGCCCCUUGCCCUCGCCCUCGCCGCUCCGGGGCCGCCCGCCGCGCUCGCGCCCCUCGUCGCGCCCUCCACGCCCUCGCAAGCCCGUCGUCGCGCCCUCCACGCCGUCACGCCCGUUCGCCGUCGUGCACCGUCCACGCUGAGCAACUAGGUAUAAACUCAUUUUGAGAUUUUAGUUGCUAAAUUUUGUCAAAUAAAUGUUUGAUUGUUGUGAAAUAGAGUUAGUUUUUUUGUGUGUGAUUGUGUAUUGUGAAAUAGAGUUAGGUUUUUAGUGGUCACUUUGCAUGCAUUAGGUAAGUCUUUUAAUUGCACAAAAGAUGUUUAUGCUGCUACUUAUAUUUACAGGCUUUGAAAACCUCCCCGUGCAGGGGAGGUGCUGCCGGAUUUUUUUGUUGAUAGGGUUUGGUUAAAUAUGUUAUAGGAUGGAGGACCGUGAGUGGAUGUACACGGGCCGUAGAGGAAGGAACGAUGUCACCACUGAAUUGAUUAGAAAGACCGAUGAUUUCGUGGAACGGGCAUAUGGCGAUGCUGCUAAAGGAGUGAGUCUAGUCCCAUGCCCGUGCAGCAAAUGUGACAACCAGAAAAGAAAACCAAAGAAGACCAUGGUAGAACAUAUUUGUAAGAAUGGAUUUACGCCGGGUUAUACUCGGUGGAUAUUUCAUGGUGAAGCGCAUCGUACGAGAGAGGAGGUGCUGAGACAAUGUGUCGAGGAUUAUGACGCGGAUGCGGGGGUAGCGGAUAUGUUGAACGACUAUCAGGAGGCACAGUACACGGGAGGAUGUAUGGAUGAUGAGCCAGAGCCGACUGCAAAGGCGUUCUACGACAUGUUCGACGCGGCACAGAAGCCCCUUCACGGCCAGACAAAGGUUUCUCAACUAGAUGCCAUUGGGCGUGUAAUGGCGUUCAAGUCGCAGUACAACAUGAGUAGAGACGCAUUCGAUGGCUUGUUGACGGUUAUUGGGAGUCUGCUUCCGGAUGAUCACGUUCUGCCAAAGAGCAUGUAUGAGGCACAGAAACUACUUCGUGCACUCAAGAUGACGUAUGAGCAGAUUCAUGCUUGUCCGAAGGGCUGUGUGCUAUUUAGGAAAGAAUACGCGGAGGCAAAGUACUGUCCCAAGUGUAAUUCGUCUAGGUUUAUGGAGGUAGAAUCUGGUGAUGGACAGAAGAGGCACCUCGACAUCCCCUUGACAAUCCUACGACACCUUCCGUUCAUACCGAGGAUCCAGCGUCUGUACAUGACAGAGGAAUCCGCGAAACAGAUGACAUGGCACAAAAAUGGAAAACGAUACAAUCCUGACAAGAUGGUGCACGCAUCAGAUGGUGAAGCAUGGAAACACUUUGAUGACAUUCACCGUGAGAAAGCCGAAGAGGCUCGUAAUGUACGUGUUGUGUUGGCCACAGAUGGGUUCAAUCCCUAUGGAAUGAGCGCUGCCCCGUACACAUGUUGGCCCGUGUUUGUUAUCCCAAUCAAUCUCCCCCCUGGUGUGUGCUUUCAAAGGCAGAAUAUAUUCGUGUCGUUGAUAAUUCCCGGACACCCGGGGAACAAAAUGGGCGUGUACAUGGAGCCUUUGAUCGAUGAAUUGGUACGUGCCUGGGAGGAAGGGGUAUGGACGUAUGACCGAGCUACGAAGACAAACUUCAGAAUGCAUGUUUGGUACCAGUACUCCAUGCAUGACUUACCGGCCUAUGGGCUAUUCUGUGCCUGAUGUGUUCACGGUAAGUUCCCAUGCCCAGUUUGCAAGGAAGCUCUCAGGUUCAUUUGGUUGAAAAAGGGUGGCAAAUAUUUGUCCUUCGAUAAACAUCGACAAUUUCUUCCUGCUGACCAUCCAUUCUGCCUAGACAUCAAGAACUUUACGAAAGGUGUCGUAGUGACAGACCGCCCACCUGCAACGAUGACUGGUGCCGAAAUUCGUCAACAGAUAGAUGGGCUCGUGGCCAAUACAGAAGGUGGUUUUGUGGGAUAUGGUGAGCAGCAUAUGUGGACACAUAAGUCUGGCUUGACUCGGCUCCCCUAUUAUGACGACCUGCUCCUUCCACACAACAUUGACGUGAUGCACACUGAAAAGAAUGUUGCCGAGGCACUGUGGGCAACAAUUAUGGACAUUCCUGAUAAGUCAAAGGAUAAUGUGAAGGCAAGAGUGGAUCUGGCAGCGUUAUGUGAUAGACCAAAACUAGAGAUGAAGCCGCCAAGUGGCGGAAAGACGUGGAGAAGGGCUAAGGCCGAUUUCGUCCUAAGCAGGGCCCAGAGGAAGGAAGUACUUCAGUGGAUCAAGAUGUUGAUGUUCCCCGAUGGGUAUGCAUCUAACCUGAGUAGGGGGUGAACUUAUCUACUAUGCGAGUCUUAGGGAUGAAGAGUCAUGACUUCCACAUAUGGAUUGAACGGAUUCUUCCUGCGAUGGUUCGAGGCUAUGUCCCUGAGCAUGUCUGGCUAGCGCUUUCAGAGUUGAGCUAUUUCUUCCGUCAGCUUUGUGCAAAAGAGUUAUCUCGGACCGUUGUUGCAGACUUGGAAAUAUUGGCCCCCGUGUUAUUGUGUAAGCUUGAGAAGAUAUUUCCACCCGGCUUCUUCAAUCCAAUGCAGCAUUUGAUUCUUCAUCUCCCCUAUGAGGCACGAAUGGGGGCCCCGUGCAGGGACGUUGGUGCUAUCCAAUCGAGAGAUAUCUAAAGACUAUUCGAAAGAAAUGUAGAAAUAAAUAGAAAAUCGAGGCUUCCAUUGCAUAGGCAUACAUUCUAGAGGAGGUCUCAAACUUCACAACAACUUAUUAUGGUGACAAACUGCCGAGCGUGCAUAAUCCACCCCCUCGUUACAAUGAUGGCGACAAUGAAUCGAACCUUAGCAUAUUUCGAGGCCAACUCGGAAGCGCAAGUGGCUCGACCACCAAGACCCUGACACAUGAAGAGUGGCGGCAUAUCAUGCUAUACGUAUUGGCCAACCUUGAAGAGGUGACGCCAUACAUGGAACAAUUUCUUCAUGAAUUCUGGCGUCGAUCAAGGGAUCCCACUCCACAGGAAUAUGACACUCUUCUUAGAAAGGGUGCGAGAAAUGGGUUGCCCGAUUUCAUUUCCUGGUUCAAACGUAAGGUACUCGGCAAAGAGCCUAACAUGGGGACCCUCUCUGGCGGACUCUUUGCCGAGUGUCCCAAGUGGCACUCGGCAAAGAUGGAUUCUUUGCCGAGUGCUGCCUGGAAGACACUCGGCAAAGAUAACUUCUUUGCCGAGUGUCACCAGGGACACUCGGCAAAGCUGACGUCUCCGUCACCCGGCGCCGUAACGGCCGCUUUUCUUUGCCGAGUGCUCUCUGGCACUCGGCAAAGAAGUUUGUCGAGUGCCCGAGAAAAAGCACUCGACAAAGAAGGCUUUGCCGAUGCACUGUUUGCCGAGCCUUCUUUGCCGAGUGUUUUUAAGGCUUCGCCGAGUGCUUCAGGCACUCGGCAAAGCGAUUGAUUCCGGUAGUGAUUGAUCAGAGAUGUUUUGUUUACAGGUGAUAAUGAGGAUGAUGAUUUUGAUUAUGAUUAUGGUAAUGGUUUCUGGUAUUCUUUCCGUUUUGAAAGAGUACUUUUGGGUUAACAACUUGGGUUAAUGUUAAAACCUGGCUCUCUACUAGUAAUAAUUCCCUGAUCAACUAAAAGCAACUGCUUGACCUUAACCCCACAUAAAGCUAGUCCACUACAGCCAAACGGGACAUUUGCUGAGUACAUUGAUAUGUACUCACCCUUGCUUUCACAAAACACUAGGUUGCUUUUGGUGCAAUCUAUGCUCAGGUAAAGAAGAAGGCAUCGAGGUGGAUCUCCAGAGUUCCAGGACGUCGUUGAGUUCGAGGAUUAGGCUAGCGACCUCCCCCAGUCAGCUGCCUGUGGUGGGUUUGUUUACGUUGGCUACGUUUCGAUUCUGUGUACUUUGAUUUAUAUUAUGUAAAUGGCACUAGUCUGUAAUAUUAUUACUUACUCUUUAUUGUUAUUCGAAGCAUUGUGCUAUGAUGAGUCAUUUAUGUAAUCGCUGUUACGUGAAUUUCUGAUCCUGGCAUGUACAUGGUUCGCAUUCGGUUUGCCUUCUAAAACCGGGUGUGACACCACCUUAAGCCGAAGCUAUCGUCCUUCGGUGGUAGCUUCGGCAUUUGUCGUUAUAGCUCUCAGAUAAUAUCUUAUCUUCAUCUCGAGGACCUUCAUAGUGUUGAUAAACAAGUCUUUAGGAUUUCUCCCUCCCCUUGUCGGUUUCUUUAUCGCGUGUGCACGCCAUUAAGCCGAAGCUCGCAGCUUCAUUUCCACAGCGGAGGCAACUACAUGUUAUCUUAUACGAAGGUAGUGUUCGACAUUUUUUACCCUGUUAAACCUGAAAUGGACUCAUAAGUAAAUGAUAAGUCAAUGCUUUUUAGGACCUUCAACUAAGGAGGACCCUCAAUAGGCAUUUUCAUCCCUCGCUUUAAACCCUUAGCCUAGAACCCCUUGGACUCAUACAUACAGCCGGGGAUGGAGGAACCUAGACGUAUUUUCACUUUUUUUUACUAAAAAUAUGUAAUACUAUAUUAAGAUUUAUAUAUUCAAUAAAGGACCUACAUGUAUAUUUGGAUAUUUGUAUGUUUUGUAUAUGCUCAUAUCCAUUGCACAUGACUUGUAUGUGCAUAUAUUUAUUAAUGUACUCUGUGUCAAUACCAUAGCUUUGCAUAGAAAGCUAAAAAGAACUGGGUCCAAAGGAAAUAAUUGCCUUCGAGAUAUUAUAUAUAUUACAAGAAAGAUUAAUCGAAGCCCAACUAAGAAAGAUUAUGAAAGUUGACUCUCUGUGUAGCAUGACUGCAUGAGGUUCCACCCCAUAUAGACUAGAUUUUUACUCGUGGUAUGUGCUUUAUAGAAGUUCGUCAAACUUAAGAUAGUUUCCUGUGGGAUAUAUAAUAUACAAAUCUAUGAUAUCUGAGAGAAAGUCGUACAUGGAAAACUUGGCUCACAUGAAAAAAAAAACAUUGAAACGACAGUACAAGACUAUUUGACAAAUACAAGGCCACACAUUUAUUCCAUUAUUAUUUCCUCAUCACAAAUACAAGGCCACACAUUUAUUCUGCAACCCACGCAGGCGUGAGAGAGAGAGAUCAAAUAGACUUGAAGGACAUGAGCUGGCGAUUUUUGCUGGAGUUUGGCAACGGAUCAAACACAACUGCUUGGUAAGACGACGUUGGAUCUUUGGUUGCGAGGUUGAGCUUGUAGUUGGUGCCGGCGACCACCUGUUCCAUGCCACUGACCACCUCGGCGAACUGCAAGCUCUCACCAGUCUGCCUGUUGUGCUCCUUGACAGCCCAUUCGCCGACACCCUGGACAUAUGGGUCCUUGACGUUCUCU